rnacentral:lncRNA from 1 species
CUAUUUAUCUGUCCCGUUUCCAACAGAAAAUUCUAGAUCUUCUGUUUUCAUUCCGAUUUCAGCACAAGUCACUUCUGACUUAUGUUUUACUCCUCUAAAUCCAAUAAAAAUAGUAUCUCAUACUAUUUUUAUUUAUUUUCAUUUUUAUAUUUAAAAUCCGGUAUAUUACAUUCCACCGCAACCUCACCGGAAUCAUUCAAAUGGCUUUCAAACCAAAUGUACACCGUAACUUCAUAAUUUUAGAAGUCCGGUACCUUACAUAACCUUUUCCGGAGUGGAAAGCUCUGUAAACAAAAAUAACAAAACAAAGGGCGUGAGAAUUAUUAAUCAAUAGUUUUCGUUGGGUAAGCCAUCGACAUCAGCGAAAUACACCACUAGGUUAUGGAGGCAUAAAUAGUAUGAUUUAACAUUUAACGGAAAUAAACAACAUAUGUAAUGAGCAUGUAAUAAAUUUUACUAGGCUACUAUGUCUCUACUUGCAUGAGUUUCACAUGUAUAAGUGUUAUUCUAAUAUGAAUGAGCAUGUACAACUAGUAUGCACUAACUAGUAUAAUGUCCACAUUUCACUUCUGUUCAACUUUGUUCCAAUCAUGUAGGAGAUGCACAAGUGUAGUCCGGCUUGCGCCGUACCUAAUGGCCCCGUGGUAGUCAACAUUCCCACUCUAGAAAUGAGCCUCCCCCACAGUAUCCUAUUUCGGCGCCCAAUCCUGCACGAGCGAGCUUAUGUCGCGUUGGCUAUCUCCGGAGCGCCGGCUUGUGGGGAGCGACCCUCACAAGCAUGUGCAAAUGAGUACAAUGGCAAGCAAGCGUUUUCAUCCGUCUCAAGUCCAAUGUCAUCAUGUCUAAAAUAUGGUAUGAAGCUAAUGAUCCAAUGGCCUAUUACUAUGUCAUCAAGUAAGAGUUUAACCAUUUACUAAGUUGAAUGCCACUUUAUGACAUUAAUGUCCACUAUGUCAAGCAUGAGUUCUAUGUCCAAGAGCAUGCUAUACUUAUCAUUUUCACUAAAUGAAACAUGAUUUCAAGCCAUAUAAAAGAAUGCCAUUUACUUGUAUGAUUACUAUAUGCUUGUCUCUCUACUACAUAGAAGUGAAAUAACAUGAUACAUGAUAUAUACAUUUUAAGCAUUCUAAAAUUCACAUAUGCUCUAUCUAGCAUGAUUAUGCAUGAUUUUUUAUUUUUACAAUAAAGAAUAUAACAUAAAGCGAGUUCACCCAUUUCGGUGAGGUCAAACCCACCGAGAACUCCUCGUAUCCCUUUCAUUUGCGCGAAUGAGGAUACCCACUAGUCUUCUAGCUCUUUAAUGAAAAUUCUAAGAGGGUUAGGGGCAACGAACGAACACCCCACGAGCUCAUCUUUAACCAACCCAUAAAGAGGUAAAAAUUUACCUUAUAUGGUGAAGAACCCUCCCAAUCUCCAAAUGGAAGCUAGAAUACUUCUAAUCCAACCUAAAUGAAAGUAAGAGAACCAUCAAUUAAGCCCCUAAGGCUCUACCAAGAAAACCCCCAAAAGAAACCCUAAUUUCCAAAACUAGAUUUUUAUUCAAAAAAAUCCACCAAAUCAUGAUCCAAAUGAGAGAUUUAAGUUUCUAACCUCUCAACAAGCUCCAAACCAAGUUAGGAAUGUGCUAGGGUUGGAAAUUUUUCCUUAAACAAGCUCCAAUUCUUGCUCCAAGGCUUCUCCAAUGGUGGGAAAACAACCAAUAUGCUAUCCUUGCUCCAAGGCUUCUCCAAAUCCAAAGCAAAAGAGAGGAAAAAAGCAAGAUAAAUAAAAAGGAAACCCACUUCUUCUCCUUUUCUGGUUGUAGCACAAAAAGGCCCCCCUUAAAGGGGUAGGGUGCUAUUUAAAGAAAUGUUACAAUCUCAAAAACCCCUAAAAGACGUGGAGACUGCAUCUGCACUGCGUACCAGUACGCGGGCUGGAGUACCGGUAAGCGGGCUGGAGUACCGGUACCCCGCAACAGCACACGCAAACCCGAGUCUCAGUCAAGCGAGAAAAUACACAGGGUAUCGAUACUCUCGUGAUGCAGUACCGGUACUAGGUCCAGUACCGGUACCAGGCGAUACAGUACCGGUACUCUGCCUCGCAGAGCUCAACCCUAGAGCACCCCAAAACCUGCAUUUUAGAGGUUUUGUGCUAAGUACCCAUUCUUGCUCCUCGGGACGUGAGUUUUAGGUCGGAACACAAUCAAAGACUCUCCAGAAAAUUCGAAAAGGCUCAGAACACUAAUCAAACACUCGAACCUUACAAUUUGCUAAAGUUUUGUGUGUUACAUUCUCCCCUUCUAAAAAGGAGUUUCGUCCGCGAAACUAGAAAGCAAGUUACCUCAAGAUUUCAUCUGAAAAAGAUGGGGGUAGCGCUCUUGCAGUGCGCUCUCCAACUCCCACGUGGCCUCGCGUUCAUUGUGGUUGCUCCAAAGAACUUUCACAUAAGGAAUAUCGCAAUUCCGAAGCUUCUUCACCUCGCGAGUCAAAAUUCGCACAUGUUGCUCUUCAAAGCUCAAGGCAUCCCUCAGCUCUAAUGGUAAAGCAUCCAAGACGUGAGCCGGAUCGAAGAUGUACUUCCGAGGGACUGAAACAUGAAAUACAUCGUGUACUCCCGAUAGAUUCUGUAACAAACCGAAAACUUCGGUACAUUAUAGUGGACUUUAGCCAAAUUGGCCAAAGUGUCAGAAAGAAAAAGUAGGGCGAGUUCUAUUUAACAUUCCAACAAGGUUGGAAGGGUUAAAAAUGAAUUUCAGAGGAGUUAGAAAGGUUUUAGCAUUGUUUGGCGCGAAAUAGAGUCAAAAACGAGCUAAAACUGAAUUCUGGGGCAAAGUGUACCGGUACAAGUUGAUGGUUGUACUGGUACAGCAAGCGACCCGAGCUGAGAGUGAGCUCUCCGGUUUCAGAAAAAUUGGAAGUGUACCGGUACACCCCUGUUUUGUACCGGUACAAAUGCUGCGAAAAAUCGAGAAAUCGCUCUCGGGUUUGCCUCUGCGCGGAUCUCUACCGCUACAAAAUCCCGUGUACCGAUACACUUUGGCAGAAUGGCACAGAUUUGAUCUGCUGCAAAUACAAAAGCUUGGGAGGUUUAUUUGUAAUUGUUACCAAAUGUAAUAGCCCUAAACCCUCUCCCUCACAGUAGUUCUCCCUUUCUCUCCCACUCUCGUGUCUCUCUCCCCCUCUCAACCGGUUGUAAAGGAGAAGAAAAGAAAGAGGAAAAGAGAAGGAAACAGAGAAAGAAGAAGAGUGGUUUGGAGAUUUUUGAGGGUUUUGGAGGAUUAAGAAGUUCUCCUUCAUGGUGGACUUGGAGGAGCUUGAGCAAAGGUAAGCUCUCAUGCUAAGAAUACAUCUAGGGUUUGGAUUUUACCCUUAAGAUCUAGUGUUUUGAGCACUUUGCAAGCUUUAGAACCAUGUAGAGACUAAGAACACCAUGAAAUCCAUGGUUUCUCAUGAUGCUCUAAUGGUGGAUUUCUAGGGUUUGUUCUAAACACCCUAGAAAUGGUUCGAAUGCUCCUAGUUGAGCUUUUAUAUGAUAAACAAGCUCUCUUUUGCUUGUUUUAUAGAUCGAAUCCGGAGUAUUGAGCAUAUGUCAUAUUAGGGCAUCCCAAAGAGGGGAUUUUCUCAUAUGGGGUUUUGAUCUAUUUUGACCCCUUGGAAACCUAAUUGGGGACCUAACAAACGCGUUGGCGAAGUCGGUUUAACCAUUCAUCGAGUGUACGCGAAGUUAUUGACAAAAUAGUGUUUUGUCAUAUAGAUGGCCGCAGCAUGCGAAAUAAACGCCUAAAAAUCGUGGGAUAGGAACCGGAGCACCUUGGAGUCAAGGAAUAAACUCUGGAAAAGACGGAUCGCGAUUCGGAGGUCGUUCGCUAGACGCACAAGAGUUCGGGCCAAACCGGGCAACGGUUGCCGCGGGAGGCCGAUUGCAAGUGACUACAAGCAAUCGGAGCGCAAGUUAAGGUGGGUUGUGUUUACUGAAGCGACUAGGUCGCCCUUAUGUCUAAGAAAUGUUAAAAAGCCUUGUUGAUGCAUAUAAGUGCAAAUGGGGUAUGUGGAUAAUGCAUGUAGUCAAUGCUAAUUCAUGUAUGUUGAUAGUAUAAUGCAAAAUGCUAAGUAAUGCAUGAUGAUAAUGAUAUGAUGUGAAUGCCAAAGUAGAUGUAUACAAAAUGAUAUAGAGAUCAUGGAUGCAUGUAAGUGUAAUAUACAAAGAGCAUGUUUAGCAUUGUGAGAUCGUAAAUGCACAAAAUAAAUGUUAUGUUAAGCUACCACAUAAAGUAUAUGACAUAUGGUGGUCGUGUUGUAUGUUAAAGAAUGACAAAUAAAGAACUUGUGCAUACGGACAUAAAUGUACCUAUAGAUCGAGUGGCAUCGAACCUAGUGUCAAGAACAUAGGUUGAACAAAUGUGGCAAGGACCUAAUGUUAGUAAAUAUAGGUCGGACAAGAGGAAUAAUGAACCUAGAGUUAAUAAACCUAGGCUAUGAGUAUGGAAAUAAUGAACCUAAAGUAUUAACUUAGGUUGAGUAAAGGCUUGGACCUAAAUAGGUCAACUUCUUAGGAUUAAGACCAACCCUCGAGUUAUAUGAAAUGGAUUCCAGAAUCCCGAGGCUAAAAGAAUACGCCGUGAGUGGCUUAAAGGAUACACCCAAAGUUGUAAUAUACCAGAUUUUGGUAUAAAAAUAAAGGUAAAUAAAAAUAGUGUGAUAUACUAUUUUUAUUGGGUUUCGAAAAAUAAAAUAUAAGUCUAUAAUGACUUGCGUUGAAAUCGGAAUGAAAACAGAAGAUUUAUAAUUUUCUGUUGAAAAUGGAGUGGAUAAAUUAGCAGAAAAUGCACAGUGUCAGAAAAUUAUGAAAAUUGGAGGAUAAGUCAGAAAUAUUUUUAUGAGGCUAGAUUUAAAGUUUCAUAUUUUUCUGACACCCGAAAGUUGAGAAAUAAAAUCCGAAAUCUAUCUAAUAAAGAUUACAGUUCGGUACAGUUUUCGGUGACCAAACGGGGUCGAAACUGAAAAAUUAAAGUAUAUUCUUGUUCAGUACGUUAAACCAAAUAUGACUGUCAAAUUUGAGCUCAAACAGAUACUCUGGGAGCUCCGGCGAAAGAUAUCAGAUUUUAAGUUGCCUGGAGUGAAUAGUGUUUNNNNNNNNNNNNNNNNNNNNNNNNNAAGAGAGAAAAUGAGAGAGGAGGAGAGAAAUGGCUGUGGGAGAGAGGGGUUGGGCCAUAUAUAGUGUUGUAACAAUUGCAUUUAGACCCCUCAACUUGUUUCCCCCUGAUUUGCCCAGACUGGGCAUUUUUCGCCUUCGGGGACCGGUCUCCCCGACCAGGGACCGGUUCCCGAACGAGGGUUUUCCAGGACUUAGCCAAAUUUUCGAGUUUUCGGCUGUUGCGUAGUGAGGGACCGGUCUGCCCGUCAGGGACCGGUCUCACCACCAGGGACCGGAUGCCUCAGGAUUUCCUGGCAGGCUACGCGCACGGGGACCGGUCUCUCCUUCAGGGACCGGUCCCCGAGAGCUCAAAAUCUGGGACUUAGCCAGAUUUCCAGAUUUGCUCUCCGGGUCCCUUUUUGCUCCGUUUAUGGACUCCAAUGCACUUAGGGUCCACUUUAACUCGUUCCAUCCCGCAUUCCGCUCGUUUUGACGGAACUCGGCACGAGUUACGAGUGAUGUGUUGUGUUACACUCUCCACCCCUUAAUUUAGUUUCGUCCACGAAACUUCUAAGGUUGAAAUUUAAAUUUCUUACCUCAGUUCGGGUCCUCGAAGAGGUGAGGAUAACGCUCCCUCAUUUCGCUCUCGAGCUCCCAUGUUUCUUCCCGGUCAUCGUGCUCGCACCAAUGAACUUUAACAUACGGGAUUUCGCGGUUCCGAAGCUUUCGCACUUCCCGAUCGGCAACAUACGCCGGGAAUUCCUCAUAAGUCAUAUCCUCCUGAAGCUCUAUCGGUAUAAACGAGAGGAAAUGAUCCGGGUCGUACACAUACUUGCGGAGUUGAGAUACAUGGAAUACAUCAUGUACUCCCGCCAACCUCGGUGGUAAUGCCAACUUGUAGGCCACCGUCCCAACUCGUUCCAAGAUCUCAAAGGGUCCGAUAUAGCGGGGGCUCAAUUUCCCGCGAACACCGAACCGCUUAACUCCUCGCGUCGGCGACACUUUUAGAAAUACACGGUCUCCUACCGCGAACUCAAUAUCUUUUCGCCGCUUGUCGGCAUAACUUUUGUGCCUUGACUGCGCCGUUGCUAAUCUUUGUCGGGCAAGGCGAACUUUUUCUUCCGCCUCUCGCACCAUAUCCGGGCCAAGAACUAUUUUCUCACCCACGUCGCUCCAGUGUACCGACGAGCGACACUUCCUUCCAUACAGGGCCUCGAAUGGCGCCAUCGCAAUACUUUCCUGAUAACUAUUGUUAUAUGCGAAUUCCGCCAUCGGUAAAUGAUCAUGCCAUCCGCCCUUAUAAUCAAGUACACACGCUCGAAGCAUGUCCUCAAGUAUUUGAAUCGUCCUCUCCGAUUGACCGUCACUUUGAGGAUGGAAUGCCGUGCUAAAGUCGAGCCGCGUGCCUAGUGCUUCUUGUAAACUUUUCCAGAAAUGAGAUGUGAACCUAGGGUCCCGGUCCGACACAAUAGAUACAGGAACCCCAUGAAGUCUCACCACCUCGUCGAUAUAGACUUGGGCUAACUUAUCGCCCGACCAAGUAGUGUGGAUCGGCAAAAAGUGUGCCGAUUUUGUCAACCGGUCCACCACUACCCAUAUCGCGUCAUGUCCUCCUUGUGACUUAGGCAGUCCCGUCACAAAGUCCAUUGCGAUGUUUUUCCAUUUCCACACGGGUAUCGGUAGGCUCUGCAAUUUUCCGGCUGGAAAUCGACGCUCUGCCUUCACCUGUUGGCAUGUGAGGCAUUGUGCCACAAACUCCCCUAUAUCCCUCUUCAUGCCCGGCCACCAAUAAUGCAAUUUCAAUUCUUGAUACAUUUUGGUGCCGCCCGGGUGGAUGCUAUAAGGAGAUUGAUGCGCUUCUUGCAUAAUCGCCUUCCGAAGGUCAUCGUCCUUGGGUAUGCACCAACGACCCCGAAAUCGCAGUGUGCCGUCGGUCUCAAUGCCAUAAUCAUCGACACUGCCACUUUCAACUUUGCCCCGCACCUUUUGGAGGAACUCAUUCGACGAUUGUAGUUCUUUAAUUUUCUCCAACAAGGUUGGUUGCACAAUUAAGGUGGCAAGUGUUACCGGCACUCCCGGCGCCACAACUUCUAGUCCAAACCGUUGCAUCUCCUUUUGCAACGCCGGUUGAGGCGUAACUUCCGUCGCCAAAUUUUUCGCCGACUUUCUACUUAGAGCAUCGGCCACGACGUUCGCUCUCCCGGGGUGGUAGAGGAUUAUGACGUCGUAAUCUUUAAGUAACUCUAACCACCGCCGCUGUCGCAAGUUUAACUCCUUCUGGGUGAACAAAUAUUUGAGACUCUUAUGAUCAGUGUAGAUCUCACAAUGUUCCCUGUACAGGUAAUGCCUCUACAGUUUCAGCGCGAAUAUGACCGCCGCUAGCUCAAGGUCGUGAGUCGGGUAGUUCUUUUCAUAAUUCUUCAGUUGGCGCGAAGCAUAAGCUAUGACUCGGCCGUUUUGCAUCAAGACACACCCGAGACCAACGUAUGAGGCAUCACUGUAUACGACAUAAUUUUCCCCCGGCGUCGGCAAAGCAAGCACCGGAGUAGAUGUCAAUCUCGUCUUUAGCUCUUCAAAGCUCCGCUCACACUCGGGGCUCCAAACAAACUUCACCCCUUUGUGCGUAAGGCGCGUUAGUGGAGUUGUUAUCUUAGCAAAUCCCUCCACGAACCGCCGGUAAUAGCCCGCAAGUCCAAUGAAGCUACGUUUCUCCGCUACACUUGUCGGGCGAGGCCAAUCUUUAAUCGCCUCAACUUUCUUUGGGUCCACCGAAAUGCCAUCUCCGGAUACCACGUGGCCCAAGAAAGUAACCUCCGAAAGCCAAAACUCGCACUACUUAAGUUUUGCGUAAAGUUUUUCCUUCCGGAGUAUGUCCAACACGAGCCUUAAAUGCUCUUCGUGUUCUUCCUCGGUCCGAGAAUAUACCAACACGUCGUCAAUGAAUACCACGACGCACCGGUCCAAUAGCGGACGGAAGACUCUAUUCAUCAAAUCCAUGAAUGCCGCCGGGGCAUUAGUAAGCCCAAACGGCAUCACUGUGAACUCAUAAUGGCCAUACCGCGUACGGUAUGCCGUUUUGUAUACAUCUUUGGGCCGUAUCUUCAACUGAUGAUACCCCGACUGUAGGUCAAUCUUGGAGUACACUCUAGACCCUUGCAACUGAUCGAACAGGUCAUCAAUUCUUGGCAACGGGUAUUUGUUCUUGAUCGUCACUUUGUUCAACUCGCGAUAAUCAACGCAGGUCAUCAAUUCUUGAUCGUCACUUUGAUUGCAGUACCUGAGUUGGUGGUCUAGCUUGAGAGGUUUAAAGACAAAGUAUAAACUUGUAAUAAAUUGUAAUGGAUAUGAUUGUAUUCGGAAGUUAAAUGCAAAUGUGUUGUAAAUUGUAUCAAAGUCGAAUGUUGUAAUAACUUAAUAGUUUAUGUAGUUGAUACUUCCUUAUGCAAUCUGGAUUGAUAUCCGUUCCUAGUUGGAACAUUCGUUGAUUGUUUGGAUUGCGACGCCUUGAACGUACAGGGAAGACCCUGCCGGCGGUACAGGGGAAUCCCCGGUCCGUUCGGCGGUCUGUCGUCGGCGCCACGACUUGGUCCAAAUUGGCGGUUGGUCGCGGGGCGUGAUAGAUUCGGUGGUAAAGCAAGCCGAUACGCUACCGGGCCUACACACUCGAAAAUCUCAUAGGGUCUGAUAAACCCGGGGCUCAACUUUCCCUGUAUGCCAAAUCUUCUUAUUCCCUUAGCCGGUGAGACCUUUAAGAAUACAUGAUCUCCAACCUGGAAUUCCAAAUGGCGUCGACACUUAUCAGCAUAACUCCUUUGCCUACUUUGAGCCGUCAACAAUCGCUCUCUAGCGAGGCGAACCUUAUCUUCUGCUUCCUGGAGCACAUAAGGGCCUAAAGCCAAUCUCUUGCCAAGUUCACUUAAAUGAAGAGGUGAUCUACACUUUCAUCCAUAAAGUGCUUCGAAGGGUGCCAUCUUGAUGCUUACUUGAUAACUAUUGUGAUAAGCAAACUCUGCCAUCGGUAAAUGCUGCGACCAUCCUCCCUGAAGUGUCACGCCCCGGGACCCGGCGGAGGCCCGCCCGGUGCGUGUCCAGACCCACCAUAUGCCCGCAACAUAUAAGGCGUCUACAAUAAAGCGAUAAAUAAAACCAAGAUAGACAAGUAUCUAGAGAUAUCAGAGCAAGAAUACAACUAAAUUUCUAAUAACAAGUAGCAGCAAUAAAUACUAACAACUAUCAUAAUCCAAAAGUAGAUAGGUACAUCAAGAGAUCCACAAGGAUACAACUAAAUACAAAAUGGUUGUAACAUAUCACUUCCCCGUAAGUUGUGCCGAGUUCCGUCGAAACGAGCGGAACGCGGAAAAGAAUGAAUUACUAUAGGCUAAAAGUGUAUUGGAGCCUAUAUAUGAAGUACAAAGGGACCCGAGAGAGUGAAACUGCAAUUCUGAAAAAUUCCCAGAAUUUUUACUCUCGGGGACCGGUCCCUUGGAUGAGAGACCGGUUCCCGAACGUGGAUCAGCCAAGCAGAGAGAAAAAUCGGCUAAGUCCUGGAAGUAGAGCUCUCGGGAACCGGUCCCUAGGUGAGAGACCGGUCCUCGGAGACCGGUUUCAUCAGGGGGAGACCGGUCCCCUUCUGCGCAGAGUGCAGGGUAGCUCUCGGGAACCGGUCCCUGAAGGGGAGAGACCGGUUCCCGAGCCCGAAAGUGCCCAGUGAGGGCUAGUUGCAAAAGUGAAAAGGUGAGGGGUUUAGAUGUAAAUAUGCCAUGAGAGGGGUUAUAUGGGCUAGGGCAUGAGUGAGAACUUAUUUGUUCUCACUCUUACUCUCAAACCUUCCCUCUCUCUCUCUCUAAAAAUCCUUCUCUUUUCUCUCCCUCUCUCUCUAGGGCUUGGACCAAGGAGGGUUUGGAAGGGAAAAGCUUGGAGAAGAAGAUCUCCAAGGUGUAGAGCAAGCUUGGUUAAGGCUUUGAAGGAAAGCUUUGGACUCCAAAGGUGAGUUCUCAUGGAUUUGAGCUAGGGUUUGGAUUUUUCCUUCUAGUAUGUUUCUAGGAGAUGGAUUAGAGUAUUUUCCUCAAUGUUUUGUCAAGCUAGGGGCUUGAUUGGAGAAGAUAGUAUUGUGGGGGACCUAUAUUUAGGGCUUUGUAAUUUUGAGGUUCAAACUUGGAUUUGAUCUCAUUUUAACCUAAUUGGUAGGUCUACGAAUGCAUCGGUGCGCUCGGUUCGGCAAUACGACGAGCGGGCGCAAGGAUAUUGAGAAAACAGGCUGAAAUAGUACAGAUCGUCGUAGCUCGCGGCGAACAAGUCUAAAAAUUGUGGAAUUUGAACUACGGCAUCCUUGCGACACAUAAAGGUGGGGGGUGCUAUCUGGAAACACCGGAUCUCUUUCUAUGUCUAUGUCUUUUCGUUUGAGCAUAUUGGUAUUAUAGCAUUCUUGCAUGUAGGGUAAUGAACAGCAUGAGUUGGUCGUAACAAUUAUCUGCUUAAGAUCAUUGUAGUGAUAUAGAACCAUGUGAAAAAGGAAUGUGUAAGACCCUAUAUGUAUGUGAAUGUAAGAAAUGACCGUGACCGUAGUAAACAAAGGCGACAUGGACAUUAGUGACACGAUUGACAUCGAUAAGUGAAUAAUUAAACAAGGUUUAACCCAAGUGACAUUAUGUGUAUUGUGGCAUCAGGACCACCGUGACGUAGGCAAGUGACAGUAUGUGCAUGAAUAGGUAAUAACCAUUCAGCGGCAUUGAGACAGUGAGAAUUGUGACAGGUUGGCCAUACCUCCUCAAAUUGAGGGUGGGAUCAUACUCACAGGUAUUGGUUCCGGCUUGUACGAGGUCGCUCCUCCACGAGCGGUGUACUCCGGAGAAGAAAUGCACCACGGGUGGACGUGUCCGGCGAAGAUCCUUCGGGUGGUUGUGCCUUGUGCCUCCCCCGUUAGAUGGAUAUGUGGACUGUGAGUUGGGGUAAACCAGGAGCACCCCAGGUUGAAUUGGGUAAAGGCCAAAGGAAAGUGAAAAAGGACAUGCAUGCAUAGUUAUCAUGUAUUCGAUUAUGAGUAUCUAUAUGUGGAUUGCUUUCUUGCAGGUAUUGUAUUAGAAGUGCAUUAGUUGGUUUGUUAUUCUUCUUUAUUGAAAUACAUAUGCCUGAAUUAGAGCUAGUGGGCGAAUCGGCGUGGUCGGCGGCCGAACUCACUGGGAACUUCUUCUAGUUCUCAUUACCACUAACCCUGUAGACCCGUACGCGAGCGGGGCAGCGGAGGAUCGAGGCAAGGGAGUCGUGCCGUAAAUAGCGACCCUAGAGUUAUAUAGGCAUACCCUACUCUCGAUGUAUUCAACUUUUGUAUGUUGAAAUUGUAAGGUAAAAGCGAUGUAAUGUAAAUUAUAUUUUGGGUAAUGCAAGAAUAAUGUAAUGAAUGUAAAUGUGUUGGACUACUUGUUUUUGAUUCAAAUGUAAUCAAAUGACAUGUGUAAGGAAUGUUUAUUUAGUUUCGAUGCUUUCGCUUGUUGUUGUUGUUUACCCUCGUGCAAACCUAGUAUAUCUCGCAAUUCUCCUUGAUGAUUUGCUUGUAUUAUACUUGUUGUUGGAGCCUUGGGCGGACAGGGGAGGUACUGUCCGUUCGGCGUCUGUCGCGUGCUCGACUCCGACCAAAUUGGCGGAGCUCGGGGCAUGACAGAUACGGUGGUAUCAGAGCGAUGUGAAAGCAAAAGUUUAGGAUGGACUUAGAGACCUUAGGAUUGGAGACCUUAGGAAUUAGGACACGUAUAACGUGGACUUGGAUUGGCGAAGGCUAAUUGAUUGGGUUAUGAGUGGAACUUCUCUAAAUGGAAAUAGAGAUGGAUUCAAGGGAACGUUUGUUUUCUUUUUGAGGUAUUAUGUGGGGCGGACGAUUACAUAAUGCCAAGAGUAGAAAAUGAACGUGCUUGAUUGCUUUCGCCUGAUUGGGUAGUUAUUUGGAACGAGUAGGAGUCUCGAAUGUUGAGAAGUAACGUGUGUGUUUCGUUUCAGGACAGAUGUCACCGAGACGUUAUACCCGUCGGACCGCUUCGGCAUCUCCUGAUGAGGUGCCAGAGCAGGUUGGAUCUGACGAAGUCUGCGAGUUGCGGGCCCAAGUAGCAGCUUUGGCUGGGGUUAUGCGACAGCAAGGGGAGCAGAUAGGGCAGCUCCACGACUUGGUGGUUCGACAGGCGGCGGCGGCUGCACCUGUACCUCAGGACCCGCCUGUACCUGUAGAACCUACGCCGAUGGCGGCGGCACCGGUGACGGCUAUUCCUCCGACAGCUUCAGGUUCUUCGGCCCCUAUUCCGGAAGUACUUGAAGCCGAACAGGAGCGGUCGUUGGCAGUGUUGACGGCCUUCAAGCGGUUUAAUCCUCCGACCUUCGUGGGUGAGGUGAAGGACCCAUGGUUGAUGGAGGCAUGGCUUUCUGCGAUGGAGGCGCUGUUCGAGGAUAUCUACACCCUCGAGAAGGACAAGGUUCGGUUGGCGGCUCACUGUUUAGAGGGGCCGGCUCGAUCAUGGUGGACGAGAGUGAAGAAUGGUCGGUCCUUGGAUCCGGCUACUAUGACUUAGGAAGCGUUCCGGGAGAUUCUACUAAUGGAGUACUUUCCGGAAAGUGACAAGCGGAAGAUCAAGGAGGACUUUCGCAAGUUAAGGCAAGGAAGUUGAAUGGUGCGGGAGUAUGAAAGGGAGUUCUCGCACAUGGUUAAUUGUGUUCCUGGUUUGGUUCAUGGUGACCAAGAUCGGGCGGAAGUCUUCGAGCGCGGGUUGCGGCCGGAGAUAUUCAAGACUGUUCAGGCGCUUCGGCUGAAGACCUAUGAAGAGGUGCUUGACCAUGCACUAUGGAUAGAGCGCGGCAACGCCAUUGCGCGCGAGGAACGUAAGGCGUUCGAAAUGACAAGGACAGGGAGAAGUCUAAGAAGCGACCGGUUGGUGGUACCGCGGGGCAGUCGAGUUCCAAGUGACCCCCUCGGCACCCUAGAUCGCAGUGGUGGCGAGAUAGGAGCCAGACAAGGAGUCAGACAAGUUCCUUUCCGUGCGUAAUCUGCGGUGGGAAUCAUAGGCCGAGUGAAUGUUCUCAGCGUGACGGGAGAUGCUUCCGAUGCGGCCAAGUGGGACACAUGAGAUGGGAUUGCCCGGGCGGCGCGUCACCUGCUCCGUCAGCUGCUUCGGCUCAGUAUGCUCCACGACAGCUCGCAGGACUACCACCUGCUAUGUCUGCUGGGCGCGCUUCAUCACCGCGACAACCGGAGGGAUCACGUGCACCGAGUGGACGGGUUUUCGCCACUCAGGUGGAGGAGUAGCCUGCUGUACCCGACGACGUCGUGGCAGGUAUUAUUCUGAUUAAUUGCGUUAGAGCAAGAGCACGAUUUGACACGAGCGCAUCGCAUUCAUUCAUUGAUGCCUCAUUUGCUAAGAUGCAUGGUGUCACGCCCCGGGACCGGCAGAGGCCCUCCCGGUAGCGCGCCCAGACCCGCCAUAUGUCAACACAUAUAAGGCGUCUAAAAUAACAGUGGAAAUAAAGCCAAAGAUAAUAUACAUCUAGAGAUAUCAGAGCACAGAUAGUUCAAUAAUCUAUAACAAGGUAAACGAAAAAUACUAAACAAUAGAAGUGAAAUAUAUAGUUAUACAAUAUCCAUCCAAAAAGGUACACAAAAGGGCGGUCUCUAAUACACUGGUACAGCUCUCAACCUCUCCAAAAUAAAACAUCGAGAGGUAGACCACCUAGAACUCGUCACUCGCUGAGGAGCUAGCUCGAAGCAACGCCCUUCCCACGAUCCCUAGCCUCUCCCGUUGUGGAAAGCUCUGAAAGAAAACAUAAAACAGAGGGCGUGAGAACUAUAAUUUAUAGUUCCCACUGGGCAAUUACUGACCUCAGCUCAAUGCACCACUAGGCCCCAAAAUAAAAGGGUAAGUCAAAAGAGCAAUAGAAUGGAAUAAAUUGCAUUUGUAAAAGCAUAAUUAAAAUGCUAAGAUAGUACAUCGUCUCAAUUAAAAUGAACCUUAUUUCAUAAUGACCACAUAUGUCUCUACAUGACCACAAGUAACAAUCAUGAUUGUGUUAUGAAACUAUGAAGAUCAUGCUUUACUAUGGUAAACAAUGUUUACAGGAAUGGAAUAAACAACAUCUCCUAGCAUGCUACAUGUAUGUAUUUACACUCAAGUGUCCAACACUAUGCUAGAAGCAAAUCCAAGUAAUCCAACUACUACUCCCUAUCUAGUAGUGAUUAUAACGCACUCAACACUGUGUCGAUUUUCAUUUCCAAUUAAGGGCCUACCAAAGGUAGUCCAGCUUGUGCCGCCUAAGUGCCUGUGGUAGCCCAACAUCCCUACUCUUGGAAUGUGUCCGACCCACUCGACCCCGUAGGCUUCUCAAUACCGCACGAGCGAACAUAGGUCGUGUAGGCUAACUCCGGAGUGCUGACUUGUAGGGAACGACCCUCAUAAGCAUGUGCGAAUGAGCACAAAUGGCAAGCAAGCGUAGUCAAGGCUCAAGUAUCCAACCCUCAUGUCUCAAACAUGGCAAUAGCUACUAGUAACCCAAAGGUCUAGCUCUAUGUCACAAUGUGAUAACUCAACACUCACUUGCUUAGUGCCUCUUUAUAACACUUAAGCAUCACCACUAAUCAAGUUCAAUUCAUGUUCUAUGUUCCAAUUAGGACAUUAAUACCAAUGUUCACUAUAGCCCGGGCGCCCAAUGCCUCUUUAUGACAUUGACCCAAAAUCCCAAAUAGUCUAAGUCCCCAAGCCUCUCUAGGCUUCCAAAGUCCCUAAUGUCACAAUUAGGCAUAAAGGUUAAAUGCAUAAAAGUAAUGUUCAUUUUCAUAAUAGGAAUCAUGGUUCCAAGUCUCAACUAGAAUGCUAUAUCCCACAUGCAUGCACUCUACCACAUAGGGGUCCAAAGAAUUUACUAUACAUAACAUAUGCAUGUUAAGCAUUCUAAAAUUCAUAAUAAAUAUAUCUAAUAUGAUUAUGCAUGCUUUUUCAAUUAACGAUACUCCAAACAUCACAAAUGAGAUUUUCUCAUUGUGUGGCUAGGUCAAACCCACCGAACCGUCGCGGUGUCCUUCGUUUCACCGAAAGGAGUUGUCCACGAGUCUCAAAAUACCCUAAAAGUAAUGAGCGAAGAGAUACACAAGCGUUACGAUCAACUAUAAGAUCAAACAUUAACAACCAAGGCAAAAGGGCUAAAACUUCACCUAAUGAGUGGAAAAUCUCUCUCAAGCUUCCAAAAGAAGGCUAGGAUCCUUCCAAAGCAACCUAAACCAAGGUUCUAAUCUCAUUAGAUUAGCUCAAAAAGCCUCCAAUCAAAAAGUCCCAAAUAAACCCUAGAUUUUCCAUUCUAGGGUUUCAUCCCCCAAAAUCUACCAAAGCUAGGUCUAGAGGGAAGAAACAAACAACCAACCUCAAGAGAACUCCAAUCCAAGCUCCAAGGGUGAAGAUCUUCUCUCUUGCAAGCUCCAAGUCCAAGCUCCAAGCACCAAGGAAGAAGAGGGGGUGAGGAAGAUGCUCCAAGUCCACUAGUUGCUCUUAAUCUUCUUCUUCUUCCUUCCUUCUUCUCCUUAUCCUUCUUCUCUAUCAAGGGUGUAGAGAGAGUUGAGGGAAAAGAAAUGAGGAGAAGAGAGAGUGGAUGGGUCAUAUAGACCAUCUAUUGCAACAAAAUCCAGCUAGGUCCCUCAAAAAUCCAAAAUUGCAUCAGCCCGGUCUGGGCAAUUUUCGCCCAGAGGGACUGGUCUCUCCCUGCAAGGGACCGGUCUCUCGUGUCGAACCCGAGAAACCAACGUUCGGGAACCGGUCUCUCCUUGCGCAGGACCGGGCUCUCACUGCGUAGACGCGCUCGGGGACCGGUCUCGCCCGCCAGGGACCGGUUGCCUCGCCGGCUGCGCAACACUGCUCACUGGAGGACCGAUCUCUUCUUUCAGGGACCGGUCUCCGAGGGUGAAAACUCUCAAGACUCGUCCAGAACUCAGAUUUUCGAACUUUUUGGAUCGGAAAACAUUCUACGACCCUCCACCAAGUGUGGAAAAGCUCGAAACACAUCCAAUCACUCGAACCUCGUAAUUUGCAAAGGUCCAGUGUGUUACAUUCACCCCUCCUAAAAAGGAGUUUCGUCCGCGAAACUCAAAAGCAAAGUACCUCAAGCCUCCAUCUGAAAAAGAAAGAGAUAGCGCUCCCGCAGUGCGCUCUCGAACUCCCAAGUGGCCUCGCGUUCGUCGUGGUUGCUCCAAAGCACCUUCACGUAGGGAAUCUCACGGUUCCGCAAUCUUUUCACCUCGCGAGCCAAAAUCCUCAACAGCUGCUCCUCGAAGCUCAAAUCAUCCCUCAGCUCUAUAGGCGUAGCGUCCAACACGUGAGCCGGAUUGUGGAUGUACUUCCGAAGGACCGAUACAUGGAAAACGUUGUGUACACCCGAUAGGUUCGGCGGUAGAGCAAGUCUAUACGCUACCGGGCCUACGCGCUCCAAAACCUCAUACGGUCCAAUGUAUCCGGGGCUCAGCUUACCCCGGAUUCCAAACCUUCUAAUCCCUCGAGUCGGCGAGACUUUCAAGAAAACAUGAUCUCCAAUCUGAAACUCCAAGUCUCGUCGACGCCGAUCAGCAUAACUCCUCUGCCUACUCUGGGCUAUCAACAGUUGCUCCCGAGCAAUGCGAACCUUGUCUUCUGUUUCUUGGAGCACAUCUGGGCCUAAAGCCAAUCUCUCGCCAACUUCACUCCAAUGAAGUGGCGAUCUACACUUCUGUCCAUAGAGUGCCUCGAACGGUGCAAUCUUGAUGCUUGCUUGAUAACUAUUGUUAUAAGCAAACUCUGCCAUCGGUAGAUGCUGCGACCAUCCUCCCUGAAAGUCAAUCACACAAGCUCGAAGCAUAUCCUCGAGAGUCUGUAUAGUACGCUCCGACUGCCCGUCACUCUGGGGGUGGAAAGCAGUGCUGAAAUCCAAGCGCGUACCCAAAACGUCCUGUAGACUCCUCCAAAAAUGAGAUACAAAUCGGGGGUCUCGAUCUGAUACUAUAAAAGUAGGUACCCCGUGCAAUCGCACAUUCUCAUCCAAAUAAACCUGUGCGAGUCUCUCACCAGUCCAAGUAGUGUUGAUAGGUAUGAAAUGUGCUGAUUUCUUCAAUCUAUCCACGAUCACCCAAAUAGCAUCAUGCCCUGUAAUACACUGAAUUGUUUUGCAAAUUGCGAAAUUCGAGUGUGGGGAAUGAUAUGACAUGUUCUAGAAGGCUUGCACAAGUUUUUGGACAAGUUAGAGAGUGUUUGGAAAGCUAGAAGUGAGAAAAUGCUUUGCAAUUGCGAAAUCAGCAAUUUCUGCAUUGGUGUACCGGUACAAGCCUAAUGCUGUACCGGUACAGCAAGCAGCAGUAGCUGCAGCUGCGUGGCAGCAGGGCUGUUUUGGUCUUUUCACAUCUUUUACUCAUCCCUAUCCUCCCAGCUCGACCCCUGGACCUCUUUUGAAGGUGCUGGAGUUCAGAGAAGAUCCCUUCACUUCCUCCCCCUCUCUCUCUCUAGGGUUUUUCUCUCUCUAGAGAAAAGUCGCCGAUUUACGCCGUUUUCGCGCCGUGCUCGUUGUUUGCUGACUGGAGGACUCAAGGGAAGUCCCUGGCACGUGGGGAGAUGGAGUUUUGCUGUGUUUUCUAUAGGGUUCUUACCAGGGGAAGCUAAAUCUCAGCUUUAGAGAGGUACUCAACUUGAUUUCUCUCUAGUUUCCGAUCUCGCAUUGAAUUUGGACGUCGUUUAGCGUCGUUGCUUCUAACGGAGCUAGAAGUUGUUUACAGCAGUUAAGAAAGGUUAUAUUUACUGCGAAUUACCUACUUUAACUCAGAAGCAAGUUGUUUUAAGGUUUGUUAAAGACAAUGAAUGAAUUAUGACUCUAAUUCAAAGCUAUACGUGGAUUGAUCGAGCGAGUUGAUGCUGUUGGAAUUUUUCUCUUCGCAGCAGGGUUGUGGAUCAUAUUAAGCUAUUUUGGUGACCUCAAGAGUUGAUUCAGUGGGUGUUCUGACCCAGGGUAAACAAGAAUUUCAGCUAGAAAACUGAAAUUUUUAGAUUUCAACUAAUAUCUCUUAUAUACAAGCAUAUUGACGCCGUUUCGGUUUUGUUCGCAGCGAGAGGGCAUUUGACCCUUGGACCGUCUUGGAUUGACAGUAGAAGGUCUUUUGGAAGCCUAAUUUAAGGUAUCAAACUAGUCCUAAACAGGGAAUUAAAUUCCUACUUCGCUUUGAGUGUGAAUUGUACCGAAAUUGGACUUUCCGGUUAUAGUAUUGACUCGACUCUCGUACCUUGUUUUCAGCAGGUUUGGGGCUUCGUUGAGCCGACUUUGGGACUCCUUUGGACUGUUUGGAGCUUAGUAAUAGGUGGGUUUGACCUAACCAGAGCAAGUGAAGCUCUCCUAUGUUCUAUAUGUACUUAUAGAAUUAUCGCAUAGGUGCAUUUAGUGACUAUAAGAUUGAUAGAGAAUUUGGGAAUGUGUCAUCGUAUUGUUUGAUGCUUAAGUAGAAUGAAAUCUCUAUAAAGUAGAGAACACAUAUACAUGAAGUAUUUACAUCUAUAUUCAAUUUAGUUGAAUGACUUAUGGCAAGUGUAGAAUACACUUAUAAAGUAGAGAAAAUGAUAUUCUCGUGACUCUAAAAUAGAGAACCAUAACAUGCUUAUGAUCAUGUUGAUAGUGCCAUACUAGUGGAAAGAUUAUAAUGCUAUGUGAUUUAGCUUUACCCUUACAUGUUUACAAUCUAGUGGAUACUAGCUUUUGUUACUAUUUGUGUAUUGAUAUUCCGAUCAGAGGAUCGAGGGUUCUGAACUUUAUAUGUGAAAAUAUGUGCUUGCUUGCCAUCGUGCUCAUUCGCACACGCUUGUGAGGGUAGCUCCCUACAAGUCGGCACUCCGGAGUUGGCCUACGCGACAGUUGCUCGCCCGUGCGGGAUUGGGUGCCGAAGUGGAUUGCCGUGGGGAGUGUAUACUACCACGGGGCCAUUAGGCGCGGCGCAAGCUGGACUACCUUGAGUAGAUCCCUGUGAAUGAAAGGAAAGUGCUAAAGGAAAUUGGACAGUAAUGAAUAAUUACCAGUUACAGUGUACAGUAGUUACUUACACACUUAUGCUAUGUUUAUGCUUAUAGUAGUAGCCAUGCUUCUAUCAUUCAGUUGAUUCAUUACUGUUGAUGCUAUGAUCACAUGUUGUUUACAUGUUCAUUAUUUGUUAACAUUGGCUUAUGAAUUGUUAGCAUUGAAAAUAUAUCAUGCAAAUUACUGCUUUUAUUUCCAUUCUGUACAUCUUGAGCCUAGUGGUGUAAUUCGCCGAGGCUGGCGGCUUACCCACUGGGAACUAUUGUUAAUAGUUCUCACGCCCUUUUGGUGGUUGUUUUUACAGAGCCUGUUACAGGAGAGGCUAGGGAUCGUGGCAAGGGAGUCGCGCCUAGCUAGGGACUACUAGGAGCGUGCUAGUCGAUCACCUUGCUACUCGGGCUACGACCGAGGGUGAUGUCCCUAUGUAUAGAGAGACCACCGUUGUACCUAUUCCUUUUGUACACCCUGCGAUGUAUAUGUAUUGUUGAGAUCAGACUCUAUACUUGUGAUACUUUCUCCUUUUUGCUGAGAUUUUGGAUUGUAUACUCUUUGUUCUUUUACUGAUAGUUUAUCGACUUGUACAUUGCUCUGAUAUCAGGAUAGGACUCUCUUUAUUUUACUUCCUAUCGACUUGCUUCUUGUAGACGCCUUAUAUACUGCAGGUGUAUGGCGGGUCUGUGCACGUACCGGAUAUGCUUCCGCUGGUACCCGGGCGUGACAACAUGAGAUGGGAUUGCCCGGGCGGCGCGUCACCUACUCCGUCAGCUGCUUCGGCUCAGUAUGCCCCACGACAGCUGGCAGGACUGCCAUCUGCCAUGUCGGCUGGGCGCGCUUCAUCCCAGCGACAGCCGGAGGGAUCACGUGCACCGAGUGGACGGGUUUUCGCCACUCAGGUGGAGGAGCAGCCUGCUGUACCCGACGACAUCGUGGCAGGUACUAUUCUGAUUAAUGGUGUUAGAGCAAGAGCAUUAUUUGACACGGGCGCAUCGCAUUCAUUCAUUGAUGCCUCGUUUGCUAAGACGCAUGGCAUGGAUAUAGAACAUAAUUAUGACUAUUGGUGGGUUAACGCACCAGAACACGCAUUUAGAGUCCACGACGAGUGCCUAGCUUGUCUGGUUCAAAUCGGCGACUGGAUCAUGCUGGUGGAUUUGCUAGUGCUUAAGCAGAUGUAGGGAUUUGAUAUCAUCUUGGGAGUUAAUUGGCUCGCCAAGUACUAUGCCAGCAUCGAUUGUGACAGUAGGGUGAUCACUUUUUGUGAGCCUGGUCAAGAAGAGUUUGAGUAUCGGGCGUGUAAAGGCGCGCGCUUUGCGGCGACUAUAUCGACGGUGAGGGCGAAAAAGAUGAUCAAGGGUGGUUGCAAAGCUUACUUGGCGACCAUCGCAAACCCUCAAAAGGAGUACCCGGAGUUGGGGACCAUUCGGGUGGUGUGUGAAUACCCGGGCGUGUUUCCGGCGGAGUUACCGGGAUUGCCACCGGAUCGGGAAGUUGAGUUUGUUAUUGACUUGAUUCCCGGUGCGGCGCCAGUUUCGAAGGCUCCGUAUAGGAUGGCACCGGUGGAGCUUAAGGAGUUAAAGGCCCAGUUGCAGGACCUAUUCGAUAAGGGCUUCGUGAAGCCAAGCGUGUCCCCGUGGGGAGCACCAGUGUUGUUUGUGAAGAAGAAGGACGGCACCCUUGGACUCUGCGUGGAUUAUCGCGAGUUGAACAAGGUGACGAUCAAGAACAAGUACCCGUUGCCGAGAAUAGAUGACCUGUUCGAUCAGUUGCAGGGGUCACGGGUAUACUCGAAGGUAGAUCUUCAGUCGGGAUAUCAUCAGUUGAAUAUCCGACCAAAGGACGUACAUAAAACGGCGUACCUACGCGGUAUUGCCACUACGAGUUUACGGUGAUGCCGUUUGGGCUUACUAAUGCCCCGGCAGCGUUUAUGGAUUUGAUGAACAGGGUCUUUCGACCAUUAUUGGAUAAGUGCGUCGUGGUGUUUAUCGACGACGUGUUGGUGUAUUCGCGGAGUGAAGAAGAGCACGAGGAACAUCUAAGGACCGUGUUGCAAUGCCCCGGCAGCGUUUAUGGACUUGAUGAACAGGGUCUUUCGACCAUUAUUGGAUAAGUGCGUCGUGGUGUUUAUCGACGACGUGUUGGUGUAUUCGCGGAGUGAAGAAGAGCACGAGGAACAUCUAAGGACCGUGUUGCAAAUACUCCGAGAUGAGAAGCUUUAUGCUUGUAAUAUACCGAAAAUUCGGAAAAUAAAUAUCGAACUUUAGUCAAAUUGACCAAAGUGCGAGGACGGUACACUUCGGAAAGUCCGAAGGUGUUAAAACGAUUAAAAGUGAGUUACGGGAGGUUUUCGAGAGCUAAAGUUGUGAAAUCUGCAUUCUGCAGGUUUUCAGCUCUCGGGGACCGGUCCCUGGUGGGAGAGACCGGUCCCCGAACGCGUAUGAUGUGAGACAGCCGAAAAAUCGGCUAAGUCCUGAGGAGUUAGCUCUCGGGAACCGGUCUCUGUCUGAGAGACCGGUCCCCCGGAGACCGGUCCCACAAGGAGAGACCGGUUGCACUGCGCGCAGCAGCUCUGGCUGCGCUGGGACGACGUUCGGGAACCGGUCCCUGAAGGAGAGACCGGUCCCUGCCUGCGCGAACUGCCCAGUUCGGGCAGUGUAUUAAAGUGAAAGUUGAGGGGUUUAGCUGCAAUUUUGCAACCCAAUAAGGUAUGUAUUGGGUAAAUGAAGGGAUCUCUCUGCAUUCUCGACCGCUUCUCACACUCUCAUCUCUUCUUUCUUCUCUAGAGACAAAGAGAGACAGGAAAGGAAGGAAUAAGAAGAAAAGAAAAGAUGAAAUUUGGAAUGAAGCUAUUGGGAGUGACACUCAUUUUCUUGCCCUUCUAGGGCAAGAAAAGAGCAAGUUAGAGGUAAGCUUGCCUUCUCAUGUUAUAUUUCCAAACUAGGGUUUGGGAUUAAGUAAGAUAUGUUUAUGAAUAGAGCAUGUUUGGUCUUUGAAGCUUUCAUUUUGCUUCAUUUGAGAUCAAGAGCAUGAGGUUAGGUGUUGGAAGGUAAAGCUUGAAGGAGAGCUUGACCCUCUUCAUGGUGAAAUCAUAAACUAGGGUUUGGAGUGAGUUAGGGAAUGUUCUAAAGACUAUUUAGAGUAUAAGUGACUACUAUUAUUCAAAGAGAUCAAACCCUAGGUUUUGAUAUAUCAUAUGGAGCUAGGGCACCAAAUUGGGGUUUUGCUAUCGGGUUUUCAAGUGCAGAUUGACCCUCUAGAAACUAAUUGGGCGGUAUUUCCGAUGCGUUGGUGGCUAGAUUACGUUACGAAAAGUCAAUGUAAGUUAUGCCAAAUAAGUGCAUAAUUUGCUUUCGUUAUGCCGCAUGUUUGGGGGGUUGUAUUAUUGUGUGGUUUGGGUAAGACGACAGAUCUAAAAAUCCCAAGAAAAUUAGUCGGAAGGACCUUUGAAAGCCUCGAGGCUGGUGUGUGCUUCUCAAUCCAUUGAACUUUCUCUCUUAUGCUAAUGUGUCAUUCAUCUUGAAGCUGUGUAAUAUAUAUUGUGCAUGCAUAUUAGGGUAAAGUAAUGAUACGAAUGUGAUGAUGCAUGAUUGUGAGUAAAUUGCUUUAAUUGAUGGUACGACCGAACCCAACUAAAUGUCAAAACCCUAAGUGUAUGCAUUAGAGAAAUAGCACCCAAAGUGAGCAAUAAGACCUGCAGUGACAACAUAUACAAUAGAUCGAGUGGCAUUUGAAAAGGUAAAGUAAAAGACAGUAGAGUUAUAUGAUACAAAGACCAAAUGUGAUGAAGUAAUGAUGGAAAAUGACAAUGUUGUGAAAGUCAAGAAAGUGUGGCAAUAAGAACAAAGGAUUGUACGAACAGAAUGCUAGACGUUAGCAGAAGAGUAAAGAAAUGUAAAGAGUAAUUGCAUGGUUGCAACAUAAAGUUGAUGUAAGAAACAAACUAGAGCAGUCGUAAAGUCAAGAUUGAACUUGAAAUUCUUUUUGAGUUUAAGGAUAUGACCAUACUUGCUAUGCUUCGGCUCGAGGCGGUCGCUCCUCCUCGGCGAUGCGCUCCGAGUUAUGCAUACGGGUUGGAUGUAAACCGGUAAGGACGGUCUAAGUGGUGGUUUCUGCGAUGAUGGACUUAAUGGAAGAAUUAAUGUGGCGAAGCCCCGGUUAGCCUUAAUGAUUAAGAAAAUAGACAAAGAACAAAGAGCAAAAGAUAAAGAACAAAACAAAGUAAGUCAAAGAAUGAAAGAAUUUGCAUAAUUGCAUUUAUUCCAAUGUUGGCAUACUUCUUGCUAUUGUUCAGGCAUAUUACAUUCAUGUUUCUAAUUCGUUCAAUAACGCUUAUUCUUCUUUAUGCCGUGAGUUAGACUAGUGGGAAAGUCGGUUGAUGUUUUGAGGCCGAACCCACUGGAACUUUGUUGAUAUCUCGCACCCCACUAUUUCCACAGAGCCGGGACCGAGCGAGCCGGCGAGCGACCGAGGUAAAGGUAUCGCGCCUUAGUCAGAGGCCACCAAAGUUGGGUUUCAUUUUGUAGUAAAGUACCCUAUGUUCAUCUUUUGUACAUGAUGAUUAGUGAUGUAAAGAACAGAACGCAAUGUGCAUUUUGAGGUAAAUGUGAUGUAUGAAAGAAAUGAUGGAAUGAUGUAAUGAAAUGCAAAGAAUCCUCAAUGUAAGAAAGGGAUGCGAUGUAUGUGAUCUAAAAUGAAUCAUAUUACUUGUGUAGAUGUUUAGUUUUCCUUUCUUUCACUAAUGGCUAUUGCUUACCCUCGUGUAAGCCGUUUGUGUAUGUUUCCGCUAGUGCAAUUCUUGUUUGAAUUUUGUACAUGUGAUGAGCCUUGGACGGAUAGGGGAGACUCUGUCCGUUCGGCGUCUGUUUGACGUGCUCGGGUCGGGCCAAAUCGGUAUCGGUCCCGGGGCGUGACAAUGCUAAGCUCAAGAAGUGCAAAUUCUGGCUUUCGGCGAUGACCUUCUUAGGCCAUGUGAUAUACGGGAGUGGAAUCUCGGUGGACCCGAAGAAAAUUUAGGCGAUUCGAGAUUGGCCUCGUCCUAUGAGUGUGGUGGAAGUCCGCAGUUUUCUUGGAUUGGCGGGCUAUUAUAGGCGCUUUGUUGAGGGGUUUGCGAAGUUGACUACUCCUCUCACACGUCUUACGCACAAAGGAGUAAGGUUUGAUUGGAGCGAAGGUUGCGACCGAAGCUUCAAGAGUUGAAGGAGAAACUGACGUCUACCUCGGUACUUGCUUUGCCAACGCCGGGAGAGAGCUUCGUGGUGUACAGUGAUGCUUCCUACACCGGUCUCGGGUGUGUUCUUAUGCAAAAUGGGCGAGUCAUUGCGUAUGCUUCGCGCCAGUUGAAAAGCUAUGAGAAGAACUACCCGACACACGAUCUCGAGCUAGCGGCGGUUGUUUUCGCGCUGAAGCUUUGGAGGCANAGCUAGCGGCGGUUGUUUUCGCGCUGAAGCUUUGGAGGCACUAUCUUUAUGGUGAGCAUUGUGAGGUGUACACCGAUCACAAAAGCCUCAAGUAUUUGUUCACCCAGAAAGAGUUGAAUAUGCGGCAGCGGCGGUGGCUGGAAUUGAUAAAAGAUUAUGAUCUUACUAUCCUGUACCAACCCGGUAAAGCCAACGUGGUGGCCGAUGCGCUGAGUAGAAAAUCUGUUGAAAACUUAGCGACGACGAUUACUAGUCAACCGGCAUUACAUAAGGAAAUGCAACGGUUUGGAUUGGAGAUAGUGGCGCCGGAAGUUCCGCCUAUCUUGGCGGCACUAGUAGUUCGACCGACCUUGUUGGAGCAAAUUAAGGAGCGGCAAGUGGAUGAUCCGUAUCUCCAAAAGGUGCGGAAUGACGUUAGUGAUGGGCGCGCUGGUGAUUUCGGCGCGGGAGUUGACGGUGCGCUACGGUUCAGAAACCGAUUGUGCAUACCCAAAGACGAUGAGAUUCGUAAGAUGGUGUUGCAAGAGGCGCAUCAUUCCCCGUAUAGUAUUCACCCGGGCGGCACCAAGAUGUACAAGGAUCUAAAGUUGCAUUAUUGGUGGCCGGGUAUGAAGGAGGACAUCGGAGAGUUCGUGGCGCAAUGCUUGACGUGCCAACAAUUAAAAGUCGAGCGUCGUUUUCCCGCGGGGAAGUUGCAGAGCCUACCGAUCCCCGUGUGGAAGUGAGAGGAUGUCGCUAUGGACUUUGUGGUCGGGCUGCCCCGAUCGCAAGCUGGACAUGACGCCAUAUAGGUGCUUGUGGACCGUUUGACGAAAUCGGCUCACUUUUUACCUAUCCACACCACGUGGUCAGGAGACAAGUUGGCCCAGAUUUACUUGGACGAGAUAGUGAGACUGCAUGGGGUUCCCGUGUCGAUUGUAUCCGAUCGAGACCCCCAGUUCACUUCUCAUUUCUGGAGGAGCUUGCAGGAUGCUCUAGGCACGCGGCUCGAUUUUAGUAUGGCGUUUCAUCCUCAGAGUGAUGGACAAUCUAAGAGGACAAUUCAGAUACUCGAGGACAUGUUGCGAGCAUGUGUGCUUGACUAUCGUGGAGGGUGGCACGAUUACUUACCGAUGGCGGAAUUUGCAUACAACAAUAGCUACCAAGAAAGUAUUGCAAUGGCGCCAUUCGAAGCCCUGUAUGGAAGGAAGUGUCGCUCGCCAGUUCAUUGGAGCGAGGUGGGCGAGAAGGUUGUUCUUGGCCUAGAAGUUGUUCGGGAGGUGGAGGAGAAAGUUCGUCUUGCCCGGCAAAGAUUAGCGACGGCGCAGUCAAGACACAAGAGUUAUGCCGAUAAGCGAAGGAAGGACAUUGAGUUCGCGGUUGGAGACCGCGUGUUUUUAAAGGUAUCGCCGAUGCGUGGUGUUAAGAAGUUUGGUGUCCGGGAGAAGUUAAGUCCCCGAUUUGUCGGACCCUUUGAGAUCUUGGAAAGGGUUAGCACGGUGGCCAACAGAGUAGCAUUACCGCCGAGGCUUGCGGGGGUGCACGAUGUAUUUCAUGUAUCCAAUCUCCGCAAGUAUGUUCACGAUCCGGAGCAUGUUCUCUCGUAUAUAUCGAUAGAGCUUCAAGAGGACAUGACUUACGAGGAGUUCCCGGCGUACAUUGUUAAUCGGGAGGUGCGAAAGCUACGGAAUCGAGAAAUUCCAUAUGUUAAGAUCUAUUGGAGCAAACACGGCGAUCGGGAAGAGACGUGGGAGCUUGAGGACGUGAUGAAGGAGCGUCAUCCUCAUCUUUUCGAGGAACUAAGAUGAGGUAUGGAUUUUGAAUUACGAAUGAUUUAGUUUCGCGGCCGAAACAAUUUUAAAAGGGUGGGGAAUGUAACAUAUCACUUCCCCGUAAGUCGUGCUGAGUUUCAUCGAAAUAAGCGGAAUGCGGAAAGGAAUGAGUUACUAUAGGCUAAAAGUGGAUUGGAGCCUAUAUAUGAAGUAUAAGGGGACCCGUGAGAGUGAAACUGCAAUUCUGGAGAAAUCCCAGAAAUUUUACACUUGGGGACCGGUCCCUUGGAUGAGAGACCGGUUCCCGAACGUUAAUCAGCCGAGCAGAGGGAAAAAUCGGCUAAGUCCUGGGAAUCGAGCUCUCGGGAACCGGUCAUUCGGCGGGAGACCGGUCCCGGGAGAUCGGUUGCGUCGAGGGGAGACCGGUCCCCUGUUGCGCAGAGUGCGGGGUAGCUCUCGGGAACCGGUCCCUGAAGGGGAGAGACCGGUCCCCGAGCCCGAAAAUGCCCAGUAGGGGCUGGUUGCAAAGAUGAAAUUUUGAUGGAUUUAAGUACAAAUGUUACAUGAGAUGGUUGUAUAGAGGUGAGGGUUAGGGUUAGCUCUCAUUUCCCUCACACCUAAACACAAACCUUUCCCCUCUCUCUCUAUAAAAUCCUUCUCUUCUCUCUCCCUCUCUCUCUAGGGCUUGGACUAAGAGGGGUUUUGGAGGAGAAAAGCUUGGAGAAGAAGCUCUCCAAGGUGAAAAGCAAGCUAGGCAAGGCUUUUGAAGAAAAGUUUUGGGCUCCAAAGGUGAGUUCUCCUGGAUUUUGAGCUAGGGUUUGGGUUUUUCCUUCUAGUGUACUUCUAGGAGAUAGAUUAGAGUAUUUCCCCUAAGUUUCUCAUGAGAAGGGACCUAUGUUGGGGAAGAUAACUUUGUACAAGGAUCUAUAUUUAGGGUUUUGUAAUUUUGAGGUUCAAACUUGGAUUUGAUCUCAUUUUAACCUAAUUGGUAGGUCUACGAACGCAUCGGUGCGCUCGGUUCGGCGAUACGACGAGCGUGCGCAAAGAUAUUAGAAAAAGAAGGAGAAAUAGUACAGAUCGUCAUAGCUCGCGGCAAACAAGUCUAAAAAUCGUGAAAUCUGAUCCACGGCAUCCUUGUGACACAUAAAGGUGGGGGGUGCUAUCAGGAAACACCGGAUCUCUUUCUAUGUCUAUGUCCCUUCUUGAGCAUGAUGGUAUUAUAGCAUUCAUGCAUGUAGGGUAAUGAACGGCAUGUGUUGGUUGUAACAAUUAUCUGCGUAAGAUUAUUGUAAUAAUAUAGAACCAUGUGAAUAAAGAUAGCGAAAGACCCUAUAUGCAUGUGAAUGUGAGAAAUGACUGUGACCGUAGUAAACAAAGGCGACAUUGACAUUAGUGACUCGAUUGGCAUCGAAAAGAGAAUAGUUAAACAAGGUUUAACCUGAGUGACAUCAUCUGUACUGUGGCAUCGGGACCGCUAUGACAUUGGCAAAUGAUAGUAUGAAUAGGUAUUAACCAUUCCUCAGCAUUGAGAUAGUGAGAAUUAUGACAGGUUGGCCAUACCUCCUCAAAGUUGAGGAUGGGAUCAUAUUCACAUGUAUUGGUUCCGGCUUGUGAGAGGUCGCUCCUCCACGAGCGGUGUACUCCGGAGAAGAAAAGCACCGCGGGUGGACGUGCCCGGCGAAGAUCCUUCGGGUGGUAGUGCCUUGUGCCUCCCCCGUUAAACGGGAUAUGUGGACUGUGAGUUGGGGUAAACCAGGAGCACCCCAGAUUGAUUGAGUAAAGGCCAAAGGAAAGUGAAAAGGACGUGCAUGCAUAAUUACCAUGUAUUUGAAUAUGAAUAUCUAUCUGUGGAUUGUUUUCUUGUAGGCAUUGUAUUAGAAGUGCAUUAAUUGGUUUGUUAUUCUUCCUUAUUGAUACAUAUGCCUGAAUUAGACCUAGUGGGCGAAUCGGCGUGGUCGGCGGCCGAAUCCACUGGGAACUUCGUUCUAGUUCUCAUUACCACUAACCCUGCAGAUCCGUACGUGAGCGGGGCGGCGGAGGAUCGAGGCAAGGGGGUUGCGCCAUAGAUAGCAGCCUCGGAGUUAUAUAGGCAUACCCUACAUUCGGUGUACUCAACUUUUGUAUUUGAAAUAGUAAGGUGAAAAUGAUAUAAUGUAAAGAUGUUGUAAAUUACAUUUUGGUUGGAAGAAAUCGUGAUGUAAAUAAAUGUAAUAGAUUACUUGUGUUUGAUUCAAAUGGAAUCAAAUGACAUGUAUAUUGGAUGUUUAGUUAGUUUCGAUGCUUUCACUUGUAGUUGUUGUUUGCCCUCGUGCAAACCUUGUAUAUCUCGCAAUUUUUCUUGUUGAUUUGCUUGUAUUAUACUUGUUGUUGGAGCCUUGGGCAGACAGGGGAGGUACUGUCCGUUCGACGUUUGUCGUGUGCUAGAAUCCGACCAAAUUGGCGGAGCUCGGGACGUGACAGUCUGUGUGCUUCUCCUCGCCCGAGAUGCCAUGAGAAAAAGCUGGAAUUGGGUAUGGUGGUUCUCCUCGCCCAUUAGCUUAUCGGAUGAUGCCGCCUAGAUUGACUUGAACCUUGCUGGGUGAGAGCGAUGUGGUGGCUGCCAGAUGACUAAGUCACGACUUGAACCAUAGUUCGGUGAGGUGCGAUGAGUUUGCCGCCAGAUGACUAAAUCGUGACUUGAGUUGUUGUUGAGUUCGACGCGAUGAGUUCGCUGCCAGAUGGUUAAGUCAGAUUUGCGGUAGGCUGUGACGGCAGCCAGGUUGAGUUGCAGCCAGUGCGCGGACUAUCCGCGGAUGAUUGACUCGAGGCCGAGUCGGGUGGUUAACUUGAUUAGGUUAAUGGAAACCUUAUAAGCUAGUGAGCGAGGCAAGAACCUAAGGUAAUAGAGAUCUUAGGAGCAAGUUGAACUUGAGCUGAGAACCUAAGGUAAUGGAAACCUUAAAAUUGAAUGAAAUGAGCUAAAGUUAGCAAGUGAAUGUAGAAUCAACAUAUCUACUAGUUGUUUAUACAGUUGCAUAGUUGCAUAAUAUUCAUAUUGUAUAUUACGAGGCAUGUUAUCUGUUAGUUGCCUAAUUACAUUACGAUAUGUAUAUCUGUAGAUGUUUUUGAACUAACAUGAUUGCAGUGCCUUCUUGAACCUAUCGAUCGAGCUUUUCCCUUGGGUGGCCGUAUCCACUGGGAACCAUGGAGUUGGUUCUCACCCCACGUUGUUUUGGGGUGUUAUAGGUUCACACGUGAGCGGCGCAGCGGCGCAAGGCGAGGGCGUAGCUUCGUAGAUAGCGCCCUACCACAGAGACCAGACCUAGCAGUACCCCGAGUCAGCAGGGUCUAGGGGUUAGAAUGGAAUGACAACAACCAACUUGUAUUAAAUGUAAUAAUGUGAUUGUAAUUUGGAAGAAAAAUGUAAACAGAAACUGUGAUGUAUAAUGUGAAUGUAUAAAGGAAUGCUUGUAAUAGCAAGUAGUUUAUGUAUUUGAUACUUCCUUAUGCAAUCUGGAUUGAUAUCCGUUCCUAGUUGGAACAUUCGUUGAUUGUUUGGAUUGCGAUGCCUUGGACGUACAGGGAAAACUCUGUCCGUUCGGCGGUCUGUCGGCGGCGCCGCAACCAGGUCCAAAUAGGCGGUUGGUCGCGGGGCGUGACAUACGUUGUCGGUCACCAACGUAACCCUCCGCGAAGUUAGAAGCCAUGCACUUCGAUUCAACUCUAGCUUUUUAAUGUUAUCAAGGUACCCAAUCAUGAUACUUUCGCUCACAAGUCAAAUAGACCUCGUCUCUCACGAGCCUAUUUCCUAUAGUCCAACCAGCCUAAGGUUUGCUAGGUCCACUAAGACUCAACCCUAGGCUCUGAUACCAAACUAAUCUGUCACGCCCCGGGACCUAGCGGAAGCCCGCCCGGUGCGUGCCUAGACCCGCCAUAUGUCUAAAACAUACAAGGCGUCUAAAACAAAACGAUAAAUAAGGCAAGAAGAAAGAGAACAUUUAGCUGUAUCAGAGCAAAGUGUAUUUAGAGGCUACAAUAAAAGAAAUGAACACAAAGCCGAAAGUCCCCUAGAUAAAAACGUGAAGUAGUAUAAGAAGAAUCCCAAAUACAAAUGCUAAACAUAAAAACAUGGGCGGUCUCUAUACAUGGUAACAAAACUCUCUCUCUCACAAAAAUGAAAAAGAAGAGAGUGACCACCUAGGAGCAACAGCAAGCUCCGCUAUCUAGCUACGCGACUGUAGUACUUUGAACUUAGCAAAUUGCGGAAUUCAAGAGAGUGGGAUUGGUAAUUGGAGUGUACCCACAAGUUCUAAAGGUCCUAAGAGAAUUUGUGGACAAGUUUGAGAGUGAUCGGACUGCCGGAAGCACAAAAGUGCAUUACUAGCAGCAGCCUAGCAGCAGCAUCAGCAGCAGCUUAAGCAGCAGCAGCAGCAGCUUAAGCAGCAGCAUCAGCAGUAGCUUAAGCAGCAGCAGCAGCAGCCUAGCAACAGCAGCAGCCUAGCAGCAGCAUCAGCAGCAGCUUAAGCAGCAACAGCAGCAGCCUAGCAGCAGCAGCAGCAGCCUCGCAGAAGUAUCAGCAGCAGCUUAAGCAGCAGCAGCAGCAGCAGCAGCAUCAGCAGCAGCUUAGGCAGCAGCAGCAGCACUAGCAGCAGCUGGCUGGUAGCAGGGGCUUUAUAGUAAUUUUUUCUCUCAUCCUUAUCUUCUAAUCACUACGAUUGACUUCCCCUGUUGGCUUAUUGCAGGGAUAAGCUAAGAACAGGGUUGCAAGUUCUUUUUUUUUUUCUUUUUCUUUCUUUUCUCUGUCUUUAGAGACUCAGAGAGUUCUCUUUGAGUGAGGUUGCCAAGUUGAGCUGAUUUCUCCUUCCCUCUUGUGUGCUACUGCUUUAGAGGAAGUGAGGAAGUUUUGUUGCUGUUGGAGAGAUAUAUUUAAUAAGGUUUCGGUGGCCUAAACUCUGGAUUCAGCUGAGGUACCUUGUGGUAUGGGUUUAACAUCACUCUCUUUUCUACUAUUUACUACUAGUAGUAGAAGUAUGUUGAUUUUAAUCCCUCCACUGUCAGCAGGGUUGGGAAAGUUUUAACAAUUAGAGAAGGGUCCUCUUACUGUGAUUUCUUCGCCUACACCCAGGGAAAAGUUAAAGUGAUGCCUUGAGAAGGUGAUUAACUAUUGAAUUGCGUUGUUGAAGCCAUGUUGGAUAUAAUAAUGAAGUACUAAUGCUGAUUUCGGAUUUGUGCUUUCAGCAGCCUUGCAGUCCAUUUUAAGCUGAUUAUCUGAUUCUUGUAAACUGGUUUUGGGUAUACUUUCUCUAUUAGGAGCUGGAGCUCUAAAUGGAAAAGGUGAUAAACAAGUUGUUUCUCUAGUUUGAGCUGAAAUUAAUGUUAUUGAUGCAAUGUUAAUGUUGUUUCUGCGUUCUGUUUUCAGCAGCGAAGAUUGUUGUUUCCAGCUGAUUGUAGUAACUAGUAAGCGCUGAUUUGGAAGAACUCAAAUUGAGUGAAUAGAGGUUCGAUUCUAUGCUAAACUUAGCAGGAAAUUUUGUCGAAAUCUGAAGUUACCACCUAGUUUUAAUGCAGAUUUUGGAACCCUGUUACUGCAGGAUUAAGAUUGGGACCUAACUGAGCUAAAUUGAUCAUCACGUGGGGCCGAAUUGAGCUGAGUUCAAGAGGCCCAACUUGGACUAAAGUAGAGGUUUAGCUUUGCCUAAAUUUAGGAGGACUUGGAGGCUUUGGACUCCUUGCAAGCGCUAGUUCAACGAGUAUCGUCUAUUAGUAGGUGGGUUUGACCUUACCAGAACAAGUGAAGCUCCCCUAUGUACUAUAUGAUGUUCUAGAAUUAUUAGUUAUGUGUGCUUGUGUAAAGAGGUACUAGAUAUAGGAUAUGGAAUGUUUCAACUAGCAUUGUUUAAUAUAAUUAAAUGAAAGCUCUAUGAAGUAGAGAGAGUUAUUCAUGAAUGUUUGAUGUUCAGUUUACUUGUAUAAAUAAUGGACAAUCUACAUUAUGCUACUAUAAGUAGAGAACAUUUUCUUAUGACCUGAUUAAUAGUACUUUAAUACUAAUAAAUUCCUAAUGGCAUAUAUAAAGUAACAUUACUUUUACAUGAUUACUAAUCUAGUGGAUACUAGUAUGCAUAAUUAUACCUAGAAUCUGACCUAUUGGUAGAGAGUGACACUUUAUAUGUUAAACCAUGACGAUUGAGAACUGUUAGUCUAUGGAUCGUGCUUGCUUGCCAUUGUGCUCAUUCGCACAUGCUUGUGAGGGUCGCUCUCUACAAGCCGGCACUCCGGUGUUGGCCUACGCGACAGUUGCUCGCCCGUGCGGGAUUGGGUGCCGAAGUGGAUUGCCGUGGGGAGUGUAUACUACCACGGGGCCAUUAGGCGCGGCGCAAGCUGUACUACCUUGAGUAGGUCCUUAUGAAUGAAAUGAAAGUACUAAAUGACAAUGAUAGUAAUGAAGGAUUAUCAGUUAUAGUGUACGGUAUUUACUUACACAUCCAUAUUUAUGUUCAUGUUUAUAGUAGUUGCUAUAAUUCUAUUACUCUGUUGAUUCAUUACUGUUGAAAUUAUGAUUACAUGUUGAUUACUUGCUCAUUACCUGUUAGCAUUGCAUAUAUAUACCAUGCAAUUACUGCUUUUACUUACAUUUAGUACAUCAUAAGCCUAGUGGUGUAAUUCGCCGAGGCUGGCGGCUUACCCACUGGGAACUAUUGUUAAUAGUUCUCACGCCAUUUUCUAUUGUUGUUUUUAUAGAGCCUAUUACAGGAGAGGCUAGGGAUCGGAGCAAGGGAGUCGCGUCUAGCUAGACAUUGCUAGGAGCUUGCUAGUCGAUCACUUUGCUACUCGGGCUAUGGCCAAGGGUGAUGUCCCUAUGUAUAGAGAGACUACUAGUGUACUUAUAUUUUGAGUAGCCUAUGAUGUAUAUGAGUUUUGGAACCUGAAAUUAUAGUUUUUAUAUUUCUUCUUGAUGUGAAAUUUUUGGAUUGGUUACUCUUUGUUCCUCUGUUGAUAGUAUUUGGACUUAUACUUUGCUCUCAUAUCAGGAUAUGAUUUUUCUAUGUUUUUCUCCUAUCGACUUGCUUUCUUGUAGACGCCUUAUAUACUGCAGGUGUAUGGCGGGUCUGUGCACGUACCGGAUAUGCUUCCGCUGGUACCCGGGCGUGACAGCGACUCCCUUGCCGCGAUCCCGUGCCUCCGCUGGUGCCGAAGGCUCUGAAAUAAAACCACGAAACAGGGGGCGUGAGAACUAUUGAAUAAUAGUUCCCAAUGGGCAAUUACUGACUUCAUUAAAAUGCGCCACUAGACCCAAAAGCUACAAAAAGGGGUCAGUGUAAGUAUAAACAAAAGCGAUGAGUACAACUAGUAAAUAAACAUGAAUACCUGCUACCACAAGAUAUUUCUACUUAGCAUGAUUUUGCUCAAGUAAUAAAAAGGCUACACUAGCAUGAAUGUACCAAAUCAUUACUAGUAUGAUGUUCAUAAGCUAAAUAGUAAAGAUGUCAUUGUUUACUAUUCUAGUCAAUAUCCACAUGGCAUGAUGAAUGCUCAAAGUCAAAACUGAAGAGACCCGCCCGAAGGUUGUCUGGCCCUUAGACCCAUCCGUAGGCUGUCUGGCCGAUGCCGUGCCUAAUGGCCCCAUGGUAGUCAACAUCCCCACUCUAGGAAUGAGCCUUUCCCACGGCAAUCCACUUCGGCGCCGAAUCCCGCACGGUGAAUAUGUAUCACGAUGGCCAUCUCCGGAGUGCCGGCUUGUAGGGAACGACCCUCACAAGCAUGUGCAAAUGAGCACAAUGGUAAGUAACCAAAAGAUCCGUCUCAAGUACCAAGUCCUCUUGUCUAACAAUAUGGAAUACGUCACAUCUCUCAUAGGCCUAUCUCUAUAUCAUCACGUCUCUAACAUGGAAUAUAAAAGAUGUCAAUGGCCUAUCACUAAGUCUCGGAUAACAGUUGCAUAGUUUGCUAGUUCAAGUGUCCCUUUAUGACACUUUUGGUCUCUAUGUCCAAGCAUGAUAAUUAUGAUCAUGAAUGCAUAAUUUUAAUCAUUUUCAUCGUACGAGACAAGUACCCAACUCGCAAAAGAACCACUUCUCACAUGCAUGCUAAAACCCAGAAUACCCUACUAUAUAGAGUGAAAAUUUUAUGAUACAUAAAGCAUGCAUUUUAAGUGUUCUAAAAUUCACAUAAAUCCCAUUUAACAUGAAUAUGCAAUCAAAUUGACGUUACGACAAGUAUAGAAUACAUAGGGGCCAUUUCGCCCCGAUUUCAUGAAGUCAAACCUACCACAACUCUUGCGACCCUUCGUUUGCUCCGAUAAAGGUGCCCACUAGCUUCCUUGUCACGCCCCGGGACCGGCAGAGGCCCUCCCAGUAGCGCGCCCAGACCCGCCAUAUGUCUACACAUAUAAGGCGUCUACAACAAUAGCGAAAAUAAAGCAAGAGAUGAUUCACAACUAGAGAUAUCAGAGCAAGUACACAACUAUAAUUUAUGAUAAGGGUAGAUGGAACAACUAAGUAAUAAAGAGGAAACAUAAAGUUAUACAAUAACCAUUUCAAAAGUACACAAAAUGGGUGGUCUCUAUUACACUGGUACAGCUCUCAACCUCUCCAAAAAGAAAACAAUGAGAGGUAGACCACCUAUGAACGCGUCCCUCGAAGCCAAGCUAACUCGAGGCGAUACCCUUUCCGCGGUCCCUAGCCUCUCCCGGCGUGAAAGGCUCUGAAAUAACAUAGAAAAAAGGGCGUGAGAACUAUAAUUUAUAGUUCCCAGUGGGCAAUUACUGACCUCAGCUCAAUGCACCACUAGGCCCUAAAAGAAAAUGGUAAGUACAAAAAGCAACAAUAAUAAUAAAUGGAUUGCAUUUAUGGAAGCAUGAUUAAAAUGCUAAACUACUAUAUCGCAAAUAACAUGAUGUCAAAUGUGUUGUACAUCUACUUUAUCAAAAUGAAGUAUGUCCAAGCAUGACUAAUAUGUCCCAACAUAACGAGCAAGUAGGUAUCAUAAACCACUAUAUCAAUGUAUGAUGAAUAUGCUCUAUCAUGGCAGCAAAGUAUACUAUGAUGCAACAAUUAAGACUAUCAUGUAUACUACAAGUCCCAACACUAUUCUAUAAGCAUGUCAAGGUAAUCAAACUAUUAAGCCUAUCUAGUAGUGAUAGUCAUUUCCCGGUUCAAUGUCAUUGUUUCCAACAUAUUCUAGGACCUACAUAGUGUAGUCCAGCUUGUGCCACCUAAGUGUCGGUGGUAGCUCCAGCAUUCCGACUCUAGGAAUGAGUCUAUCCCUUCCGACCCCGUAGGUUUCUGAUACCGCACGAGCAAGCAUAAGUCGCAUAGGCCAACUCCGGAGUGCCGGCUUGUAGGGAGCGACCCUCACAAGCAUGUGCGAAUGAGCACAAAUGGCAAACAAGCGUAAUCAUCGUCUCAAGUACCCAAUCAUCAUAUCUCUAACAUGGUAAUAGUCACUAUCACAAUGUGAAGUUCCAAUAUUUACUAAGUUUAGUGCCCCUUUAUGACACUUAGACAUUUCGAUGUACAGGCAUGUUCCAAUUCUCUCAAUGGCCCUAUCCACAAGGUUCACACAUAACCUUAGCUCAAUGCCGCUUUAUGACAUUAGCUCAUAAUUUCAUAUGUCAAUCUAGUCCAAUGCCCCUUUAUGGCAUUAUAAUAAUUCCAUAUCCAACUAGGAUUUAAGUCCAAUGGCACUUUAUAUAGAUCAAUUCUACUAUAUAAACAAGAACCCAAGUUUACCAUAAGAAUGCUAAUGCACACAUAAGCCUCAUAUGCAAGUUCCCUACUUUAUAGGGGUCCAAAAAUACAAUGUAUGUAACAUAGGCAUUUUAAGCAUUCUAAAAUUCAUAAUAAAUACAUUUAUCAUGGAAAUGCAUGAAUUUCUACUUUACGAAGCAUAAAACAUUGGAUAUGAGAAUUCUCAUAUGCUAGCCUAGGUCAAACCCACCGAACCGUGUCGAAACCCUUUGUUUCGCCGAACGGAGUUGUCCACAAAUCUCUAAGUACUCUAAAGGUAAGGAGCGAAGAGAUAAACAAACGUUACAAGCAAUUCUAGGUUCAAACAUUAACCACAACAAGCAAAGAGACAAAAACUCACCUAGGGAGUAGAAAAUCUCUCUCAAGCUCCAAAAGAGAGCUAGAUCCCUUCCAAUCCGACCAAAUGGAAGAUUCUAAACCAAGUAAUUGAGCCUUAAAAGCCCUAGAAUCAAAAUGCCCAAAAUCAACCCUAAAAUCACAUUCUAGGGUUUGAUCUACCAUAAACCAACAAAACUCAAAUUUAGAGGGAGAGAAUGGGCUACCAAUCUCUUAGAAGCUUCAAACCAAGCUCAAAGUCCUCAAACUUCAAGGAUCUUCCCUUAACUAUGCUCCAAAUCUAAGCUCCAAGCUUCAACCAUGGUGGAGAUGCACAAAGAGGGAAAAUAGGAAGAUUAAUCCACCAAAAUCCAAGCAAAAAGGGGUAUAAAUCCAAAGAGGAAGAAGAGAGGAGGUCCCUACCUUCUCCUCCACUUGUUCCAGCUCAGGGAGAGCUCUAGGGGGCGUGGGGAUACAAAUAGAGUUGCUACAAUAGCAAUUACACCCCUGCAGAACCGUCUGUUCAAAAUCUGUCACUGCGUACCGGUACACUGGUCCACGUACCGGUACACAUCCCACGAAAAGGCCAAACCCGAGCCUCGGGUUUGCCUCAAAACUGCCUGUGUACCGGUACACGGGCCUGCGUACCGGUACAACCAUCAACCCUAUACCGGGACAGCCAUCAACCCUGUACCGGUACACUGCCCGCUAAAGGCUACCCGAGAGGUGACCAAAAAUUCGACUUUUCGGGUUUUGGAGCUAAGCUUUAAACCUCACUCCUCGGGAUUCGAACCAUCGGUCGGAACACUAUCUACCACCCACCAGAAAGUCUGGAAAAACUCAGAACACAUCCAAUCACUCGAAUCUCGCAAUUUGCGAAGGUCCAGUGUGUUACAUUCACCCAUCCUAAAAAGGUGUUUCGUCCGCGAAACUCAAAAAGUAAAGUACCUCAAGCCUCCAUCUGAAACAGAUGGGGAUAGCGCUCCCGCAAUGCGCUCUCCAACUCCCAAGUGGCCUCACGCUCGUCGUCGUUGCUCCAAAGCAUCUUCACGUAGGAAAUCUCACGGUUCCGCAAUCUCUUCACCUCGCGAGCCAAAAUCCUCAAAGGUUGCUCCUCAAAGCUCAAAUCAUCCAUCAGCUCCAAAAGUGUGGCGUCUAACACGUUAGCCGGAUCAUGGAUGUACUUCCGAAGGACCGAUACAUGAAAGACAUUGUGUACACCCGAUAGGUUCGGAGGUAACGCAAGUCGAUAAGCUACCGGGCCUACACGCUCCAAAAUCUCAUACGGUCUAAUGUAUCGGAGGCUUAACUUGCCCCGGAUUCCAAAUCUUCUAAUCCCUCUGGUCGGCGAGACUUUCAAGAAGACAUGGUCUCCAAUCUGAAACUCCAAGUUCCGUCGACGCUUGUCAGUAUAACUCUUUUGCCUACUUUGGCUGUCAACAGUCGCUCCCUAGCAAUGCGAACACCUUGUCCUCAGCUUCCUGGAGCACAUAUGGGCCUAAAGCCAAUCUUUUGCUAACUUCAUUCCAAUGAAGUGACGAUCUACACUUCCGUCCAUAGAGUGCCUCGAAAGGUGCCAUCUUGAUGCUUGCUUGAUAACUGUUGUUAUAAGCAAACUCUGCCAUCGGUAGAUGCUGCGACCAUCCUCCCUGGAAGUCAAUCACGCAGGCUCGAAGCAUGUCCUCGAGAGUCUGUAUAGUACGCUCCGACUGCCCGUCACUCUGAGGGUGGAAAGCUGUACUGAAGUCCAAACGCGUACCCAGAGCGUCCUGUAAGCUCCUCCAAAAGUGGGAUACAAAACGGGGGUCUCGAUCUGAAACGAUAGAAGUAGGUACCCCGUGCAAUCGCACAAUCUCAUCCAAGUAUACCUGUGCGAGUCUCUCACCAGUCCAAGUAGUGUGGAUAGGUAUGAAAUGUGCCGAUUUCGUCAAUCUAUCCACAAUCACCCAAAUAGCGUCAUACCCGGCCUGUGAGCGAGGCAAUCCCAUCACGAAAUCCAUGGUGAUCUUUUCCCAUUUCCACACUGGAAUCGGUAGACUGUGCAACUUUCCUGCAGGAACUCGGUGUUCAGCCUUCACCCGUUGGCAAGUUAAACAUCUAGCAACAAACUCACCAACAUCCUUUUUCAUCCCGGGCCACCAAUAAAGCAACUUUAAGUCCUUAUACAUCUUGGUGCCUCCCGGAUGUAUAGCAUACGGUGCUCGGUGUGCCUCUUGAAGAAUUUCUUCUCUAAGUGCCGAUUCCGCCGGUACACAGAUCCGUCCACGGAAGCGCAUUAGUCCAACGCCGUCCACAGAAAAGUCAUCGGUGCAACCAUCAAUCAUCUUAGCUCGAAUCCUUUGCAACUCCACAUCGGAGACUUGCUUUUCUUUAAUUCUUUCCACAAGUGUAGGUUGCACCACCAAAGUCAUCAGUCUCAAAGGUGUAUCUGGAGCCACCACCUCCAACUCCAACUGCUUCAUCUGCUCGAUCAACGGCGGUUGAGUAACCACGAGCAUCGCUAAGUUUUCCGUCGAUUUUCUACUUAGCGCAUCCGCCACCACAUUAGCCUUGCCCGGGUGGUAAAGAAUAGUCAAGUCGUAAUCCUUGAGUAGCUCCAACCAUCUGCGCUGCCUCAUGUUCAACUCCUUCUGAGUGAAUAAAUAUUUUAAACUUUUGUGAUCCGUAUAUACUUCGCAUCGCUCGCCGUACAAGUAAUGGUGCCAUAGCUUCAAUGCAAAGACCACGGCCGCCAACUCCAAAUCAUGAGUAGGGUAGUUUCUUUCAUAAUCCUUCAACUGGCGAGAUGCAUACGCGAUCACUUUCCCGUCCUGCAUCAAGACACAACCCAAUCCAUUAAAGAAAGCAUCACUAUAAAUCACAUACCCUGCUCCAGCAGUUGGCAAGGUUAGGAUCGGGGCGGUCGUCAAUCUCUGCUUCAACUCUUGGAAGCUCCUCUCACACACAUCAUUCCAAACGAGCUUGGUGCCUUUAUGCGUGAGCCUCGUGAGGGGAGCAGACAACUUUGCAAAUCCCUCGACAAACCGUCGGUAGUAGCCGGCCAAACCAAUGAAACUUCGUAUCUCGGUAACACUCGUCGGCCUCGGCCAAUCCUUGAUGGCUUUAAUUUUCCUCGGGUCCACGGCUAUACCUGAUCCUGAAAUCAAAUGGCCCAAAAACGCCACCUCUCCAAGCCAAAACUCACACUUCUUCAAUUUGGCAUAGAGCUUCUUUUCCCGAAGAACUUGAAGUACAAGUCUCAAGUGUUCCUCAUGAUCCGUAUCAUUUCGAGAAUAGACCAAAAUGUCGUCGAUGAAUACUAUGACGAACCUGUCUAGAUAAGGCUUGAAAACACGGUUCAUUAGAUCCAUAAAAGCCGCCGGAGCAUUAGUAAGCCCAAAUGGCAUAACGGUAAACUCAUAAUGUCCAUACCGUGUUCUAAAAGCCGUUUUCGACACAUCCUCAGGCUUGAUCUUCAAUUGGUGGUAUCCCGACUGCAAGUCGAUCUUGGAAUACACACUAGAUCCCUGGAGCUGAUCAAAUAAAUCAUCAAUCCUCGGUAACGGAUAUUUAUUCUUGAUCGUGACUUUAUUGAGUUCACGAUAAUCCACGCACAAGUGAAGCGAUCCAUCCUUCUUCUUGACAAAUAGGACUGGUGCUCCCCAAGGUGACACACUCGGUCGCACAAAACCCUUGUCCAGAAGAUCUUGCAACUGUGCCUUCAGCUCCUUCAACUCCGCCGGUGCCAUCCUAUAAGGCGCCUUUGAGAUUGGAGUAGCCCCGGGAACGAGAUCUACCACAAACUCAAUCUCCCUAUCAGGUGGCAUGCCUGGAAGCUACGCUGGAAACACAUCUCCAAACUCCCGCACGAUGGGGAUGUCCUUAAUCCUAGGGGCGUCUGCAUCGCCCUGCAACACAAUAGUAGCCAAAUAGGCCAUGCAGCCUCUGCUGAUCAACUGUCUAGCUCGAGAGGACCUAAUCGUCAUCGCAAACAGCGAACUCUGGCAUUCUCGGUACACAACCUCUGCCUGCCCCGGCUCUCUAAACGUCACAGUUCGAUUCUUGCAAUCGAUAGUGGCGUAGUAUUUGGUCAACCAAUCCAUUUCCAAAAUAAUAUCAAACUCUCCGAGUUUAUGCAAAGCUAGCAAGUCCACGGGCAUGACCCAAUCUCCAACCCGAACAGGGCAACGUGGGCAAAACUCUCGAAUAUCCAAAGAGUGAUUGGGUACUACGACUCAUCCCGGAUGCAACAAAGAUGUCAGUGGGAUGCCAUGCAACUCGGCAAACAGCCGGUCUAUGAAUGAAUGCGAUGCACCGGUAUCAAAUAAUGCUCGAACUCGAAUACCAUAAAGUAAAAUGAUACUUGCGACCACAUUCUCGGUUGCUGCCGCCUUCUCAGUCUGGGCCGCGUACAUGCACCCACUCGGGGCCUGUCGUGACCCCUCCGCCUGCCGUUGAACUGGCGGCCGCCCAGCCUAGUGAUGCGCAGAAAGUGUCCCCUGGCUGGGACCCGGUAAAGUUGGUGCAGAUGCCGAAGAUGGCGCUGGUGCUGGACCCCUCGGGCAGUCCAACUGGAAGUGGCCCUCCUGGCCACACAAGUAGCACCUGCCCCGACUGCAUAAACACUGCCGUGGAAAAUGGGGACCACCGCAGAUCACGCAGCGCGGAGCCUGGCGUCGAUCAGGUCCUCCUCGCUGAGUAGACUGGCCGCGUCCUCGCGACUGGCUUUGGUGUCUCGGAUGUCUCGGCAGCCUCCCUGAGUGCGCCUGACUCGCACCCUCAGCCGCGGGCCUCUUGCCUUUCUCUUUGUCUAAGGCCUCUCGCCGCUCCUGCAGGUCUGCUGCUCCACUCUCCACUAUGAGUGUGAGGUUCACAACCUCCCAGUAGGUUUGGAAGUUGGAAGACUGAACAAAUCGGAAGAUUGAAGGCCGCAAUCCCCGCUCAAAGAUGUGGGCCUUGUCCUCGUCGUCCCGAACAACGAAGGGCACACAAUGAAGAAGCCGGGAGAACUCUCUCUCGUACUCGGCCACCGUCCUGUCUCCCUGGUGCAGGUUGCGCAGAUCCUGCUCCAUCUUCCUCUUGACACUGUCAAGGAAGUAAUGCUCUGGUAGGAGUUCCUUGAACCCCUUCCAAGAAAUCGCCGUCAGAUCCGUGCUGGGGUUGUCCUGGAUGUCCAACCACCAUCUGUAGGCCUCGCCGUCCAAAUGAUGUGUGGCGAGCCACACUCUAUCCCUCUCCUCGACGAAGGUAUCCCGAAACAACUUCUCCAUAUAGAUAAGCCAUUUCUCCACGAUCCAGUGAUCCACGUUCUCCCCGUCAAAGGUCCGGGGGCUGCAUCUCCUGAACUCACUGAGACGCUCCAUAAGCCGAUCCCGCUCAGCUCCCUCAACCAUCACGGGGAAAACCGCCCCCGCUACAGAUGCUCGCGCUGGUGGUGCCGUAAUGUCCUCCUCCCGAGGUGCCGCCGCUGGUGCCGUCCUAGAAGCGUCGAGUGCAGGAGACGACACCCUGGGCGCAACCACCUCCACUGGUGUGGGUGGUGUAGGGACCUGGGUCUCCCUGGUAGUCGCCUGCUGCAGCAGAAUGUCCUCCAGGCGCUUCAUUCGCGCCUCCUGUCGAAGCGCCGUAUCCGCCUACCGUGUCACCAAAUCAGUGAGGGCUGCCAGCUAGCCCCUUAACUCACGGACCUCGCCGAAUCCGGAGGGAGCGGAGGUCUCAGCCUCCACAAAAUGUGUCGCAUCGUCCGCCCUCACAGAUUGAGAGCGCGUAAUCGGCAUUGUCACUACAAAACAUAAAAGCACAAGUUAGUAAGCCACGCUAUCGAAUCCUCGCUCAAAUAACAAUACCCAAAUCAUGCGAAAGUAAGAAAGUGUUAUCCACAACCAACUCCCGAUGUUACGUUGUCAGCCGCCAACGUAACCCUCCGCGAAGUUAGAAACCAGACACUCCGAUUAAACUUUAACUUUUUAGAGUUGUCAUAAAACCCAAUCAUAAUACUUUCGCUCACAAGUCAAGUAGACCUCGUCUCUCACGAGCCUAUUUCCUAUAGUCCAACCGGCCUAAGGUUUGCUAGGUCCUCUAACACUCAACCCUAGGCUCUGAUACCAAAUUAAUCUGUCACGCCCCGGGACCGGCAGAGGCCCUCCUGGUAGCGCGCCUAGACCCGCCAUAUGUCUACACAUAUAAGGCGUCUACAACAACAGCAGAAAUAAAGCAAGAGAUGAUUCGCAACUAGAGAUAUCAGAGCAAAUACACAACUAUAAUCUAUAAUAAGAGUAGAUGGAACAACUAAGUAAUAAAGAGAAAACAUAAAGUUAUAUAAUAACCAUCUCAAAAGUACACAAAAUGGGUGGUCUCUAUUACACUGGUACAGCUCUUAACCUAUCGAAAAAGAAAACAACGAGAGGUACACCACCUAUCAAUGCGUCCCUCGAAGCCAAGCAAACUCGAGGCGAUACCCUUUCCGCGGUCCCUAGCCUCUCCCGGCGUGGAAGGCUCUGAAAUAACAUCAAGAAAAAGAGGGCGUGAGAACUAUAAUUUAUAGUUCCCAGUGGGCAAUUACUGACCUCAGCUCAAUGCACCACUAGGCCCCAAAAGAAAAUGGUAAGUCCAAAAAGCAACAAUAAUAAUAAAUGGAUUGCAUUUAUGGAAGAAUGAUUAAAAUGCUAAACUACUAUGUCGCAAAUAACAUGAUGUCAAAUGUGUUGUACAUCUACUUUAUCAAAAUGAAGUAUAUCCAAGUAUGACUAAUAUGUCCAAACAUAACGAGCAAGUAGGUAUCAUGUAAUGCACUGGAUCUUAGCAAAUUGCAAGAUUCGAGUGUUUGAUCUGUAUGUGGAGCCUUUCCACAGUUUUUGGAGGGUCGUUGAUAGUGUCCCGACCCCUGGCACGCAUCCCGAGGAUGUUGGAGUAGGACUUGGCACCAAAAUUCCAAAAUCGGAAUUUUUGGACAGCUCUCGGGUAGCCUGCAGCAGGGCUUGUACCGGAACAAGACUGGCCUUGUACCGGUACAAGGGUUGAUGGUUGUACCGGUACAGCCAUCGGGCUUGUACCGGUACAGAGCCGCAGACCGAGCAACCCGAGCUUCGGGUUUGCAUUUUCGUCGGCCUUGUACCGGUACAAGAACCCGUGUACCGGUACAAGGAGGCAGUUUUUGUGCAGUUUGAAACUGCAGGGGGUUUUGUGCGUUUGUAGCCUUCUAUAAGUAACCCCACGCCCCUAGGGCAUCUCCUGAGCUUGGAACCUGCAGGGAGAAAGGUGAGGAAGCCCUCCACACCUUCCUUUGUGGUUUCUUUGAUUUUGGUUGGGGUUUUAAGAGAUUAAACCUUCUUUUUUUGCUCCUUUUGCUUGUUGGAAGCUUUUCCACCAUUGGAGCUUGAUUUUGGAGCUUGGUAGAGGGAAGAUCUUGGGACUUGGAUAGUUUAGAGCUUGGAUUGAAGCUUCUAAGAGGUAAGCAACAUGUUCUCUCCCUCUAGAUUCAAGUUUUAUUGAAGAUUUUGAGAUGAAACCCUAGANNNNNNNNNNNNNNNNNNNNNNNNNNNNNNNNNNNNNNNNNNNNNNNNNNNNNNNNNNNNNNNNNNNNNNNNNNNNNNNNNNNNNNNNNNNNNNNNNNNNNNNNNNNNNNNNNNNNNNNNNNNNNNNNNNNNNNNNNNNNNNNNNNNNNNNNNNNNNNNNNNNNNNNNNNNNNNNNNNNNNNNNNNNNNNNNNNNNNNNNNNNNNNNNNNNNNNNNNNNNNNNNNNNNNNNNNNNNNNNNNNNNNNNNNNNNNNNNNNNNNNNNNNNNNNNNNNNNNNNNNNNNNNNNNNNNNNNNNNNNNNNNNNNNNNNNNNNNNNNNNNNNNNNNNNNNNNNNNNNNNNNNNNNNNNNNNNNNNNNNNNNNNNNNNNNNNNNNNNNNNNNNNNNNNNNNNNNNNNNNNNNNNNNNNNNNNNNNNNNNNNNNNNNNNNNNNNNNNNNNNNNNNNNNNNNNNNNNNNNNNNNNNNNNNNNNNNNNNNNNNNNNNNNNNNNNNNNNNNNNNNNNNNNNNNNNNNNNNNNNNNNNNNNNNNNNNNNNNNNNNNNNNNNNNNNNNNNNNNNNNNNNNNNNNNNNNNNNNNNNNNNNNNNNNNNNNNNNNNNNNNNNNNNNNNNNNNNNNNNNNNNNNNNNNNNNNNNNNNNNNNNNNNNNNNNNNNNNNNNNNNNNNNNNNNNNNNNNNNNNNNNNNNNNNNNNNNNNNNNNNNNNNNNNNNNNNNNNNNNNNNNNNNNNNNNNNNNNNNNNNNNNNNNNNNNNNNNNNNNNNNNNNNNNNNNNNNNNNNNNNNNNNNNNNNNNNNNNNNNNNNNNNNNNNNNNNNNNNNNNNNNNNNNNNNNNNNNNNNNNNNNNNNNNNNNNNNNNNNNNNNNNNNNNNNNNNNNNNNNNNNNNNNNNNNNNNNNNNNNNNNNNNNNNNNNNNNNNNNNNNNNNNNNNNNNNNNNNNNNNNNNNNNNNNNNNNNNNNNNNNNNNNNNNNNNNNNNNNNNNNNNNNNNNNNNNNNNNNNNNNNNNNNNNNNNNNNNNNNNNNNNNNNNNNNNNNNNNNNNNNNNNNNNNNNNNNNNNNNNNNNNNNNNNNNNNNNNNNNNNNNNNNNNNNNNNNNNNNNNNNNNNNNNNNNNNNNNNNNNNNNNNNNNNNNNNNNNNNNNNNNNNNNNNNNNNNNNNNNNNNNNNNNNNNNNNNNNNNNNNNNNNNNNNNNNNNNNNNNNNNNNNNNNNNNNNNNNNNNNNNNNNNNNNNNNNNNNNNNNNNNNNNNNNNNNNNNNNNNNNNNNNNNNNNNNNNNNNNNNNNNNNNNNNNNNNNNNNNNNNNNNNNNNNNNNNNNNNNNNNNNNNNNNNNNNNNNNNNNNNNNNNNNNNNNNNNNNNNNNNNNNNNNNNNNNNNNNNNNNNNNNNNNNNNNNNNNNNNNNNNNNNNNNNNNNNNNNNNNNNNNNNNNNNNNNNNNNNNNNNNNNNNNNNNNNNNNNNNNNNNNNNNNNNNNNNNNNNNNNNNNNNNNNNNNNNNNNNNNNNNNNNNNNNNNNNNNNNNNNNNNNNNNNNNNNNNNNNNNNNNNNNNNNNNNNNNNNNNNNNNNNNNNNNNNNNNNNNNNNNNNNNNNNNNNNNNNNNNNNNNNNNNNNNNNNNNNNNNNNNNNNNNNNNNNNNNNNNNNNNNNNNNNNNNNNNNNNNNNNNNNNNNNNNNNNNNNNNNNNNNNNNNNNNNNNNNNNNNNNNNNNNNNNNNNNNNNNNNNNNNNNNNNNNNNNNNNNNNNNNNNNNNNNNNNNNNNNNNNNNNNNNNNNNNNNNNNNNNNNNNNNNNNNNNNNNNNNNNNNNNNNNNNNNNNNNNNNNNNNNNNNNNNNNNNNNNNNNNNNNNNNNNNNNNNNNNNNNNNNNNNNNNNNNNNNNNNNNNNNNNNNNNNNNNNNNNNNNNNNNNNNNNNNNNNNNNNNNNNNNNNNNNNNNNNNNNNNNNNNNNNNNNNNNNNNNNNNNNNNNNNNNNNNNNNNNNNNNNNNNNNNNNNNNNNNNNNNNNNNNNNNNNNNNNNNNNNNNNNNNNNNNNNNNNNNNNNNNNNNNNNNNNNNNNNNNNNNNNNNNNNNNNNNNNNNNNNNNNNNNNNNNNNNNNNNNNNNNNNNNNNNNNNNNNNNNNNNNNNNNNNNNNNNNNNNNNNNNNNNNNNNNNNNNNNNNNNNNNNNNNNNNNNNNNNNNNNNNNNNNNNNNNNNNNNNNNNNNNNNNNNNNNNNNNNNNNNNNNNNNNNNNNNNNNNNNNNNNNNNNNNNNNNNNNNNNNNNNNNNNNNNNNNNNNNNNNNNNNNNNNNNNNNNNNNNNNNNNNNNNNNNNNNNNNNNNNNNNNNNNNNNNNNNNNNNNNNNNNNNNNNNNNNNNNNNNNNNNNNNNNNNNNNNNNNNNNNNNNNNNNNNNNNNNNNNNNNNNNNNNNNNNNNNNNNNNNNNNNNNNNNNNNNNNNNNNNNNNNNNNNNNNNNNNNNNNNNNNNNNNNNNNNNNNNNNNNNNNNNNNNNNNNNNNNNNNNNNNNNNNNNNNNNNNNNNNNNNNNNNNNNNNNNNNNNNNNNNNNNNNNNNNNNNNNNNNNNNNNNNNNNNNNNNNNNNNNNNNNNNNNNNNNNNNNNNNNNNNNNNNNNNNNNNNNNNNNNNNNNNNNNNNNNNNNNNNNNNNNNNNNNNNNNNNNNNNNNNNNNNNNNNNNNNNNNNNNNNNNNNNNNNNNNNNNNNNNNNNNNNNNNNNNNNNNNNNNNNNNNNNNNNNNNNNNNNNNNNNNNNNNUUGAGAUAUGAUGAAAUAGUGACUUGGCCACAAGGACAUUUACUAUAUACCAUGUUAUUAGACAUGAGGACUUGGUACUUGCGACAGAUUGUUUGAUUACUUGCCAUUGUGCUCAUUCGCACAUGCUUGUGAGGGUCGCUCCCUACAAGCCGGCACUCCGGAGAUGGCCAUCGCGAUACAUAUUCGCCGUGCGGGAUUGGGCGCCGAAGUGGAUUGCCGUGGGCCAGGCUCAUUCCUAGGGUGGGGAUGAUGACUACCACGGGGCCAUUAGGCUCGGCACCGGCCAGACAGCCUACGGGUGGGUCUCAGGGCCUUAGACAGCCUUCGGGUGGGUCUCUUCAGAUUUGACUUCGAGUAUUCACGAUGACUUAGAGUAUUACUUAGACAUUGACUAGAAUAGUAAACAUCGGCAUUUUACUAUUUCGCAUUGUGAACAUUAUGAUAGUUGGAGACUAUUACUUCAUGCAUAGUUGCUUUCGUACUCAUGCUAUUUAUGCUAAGUGGAGACCUUAUGCUAUUGUAAGUUAUAUUUUACUUACCGUCUAAUUAUUACAUUGUUAGUCACUGACCUCUUCUUGUAGCUUUUGGGCCUUGUGGCGCAGUUCACUGAAGUCAGUAAUUGCCCACUGGGAACUAUUUUUAAUAGUUCUCACGCCCCUGUUUCUAUGUUUCCUUUUCAGAGCCUUCGGCACCGGCGGAGGCACGGGAUCGCGGCAAGGGUGUCGCGUAGCUAGCCGGGAGAGUUUCUUUUGCGCUAGGUGGUCGCUUCUUCUCCAUUUUAUAUUUUGAGAGAGCGUGAGGCUUUUGGUUUCCAUGUAUAGAAAGACCACCUGUGUACCUACUUUUAGCACUCGUUAUGGGAUCCCUAUUGUACUUACUUUAUGUUUUAUUUAGUGGAUUUACUGUUUUAUCCUUAUCCCUUGUUGUAGCAUUUAGACAUUUAUUAUGCUCUGAUACUUCUAGAUGUCUUUUAUCAUUGCUGUUAUUAUUGUUGUUUUUAGACGCCUUAUAUGUUGUAGACAUAUGGCGGGUCUGGGCACGCGCCGGGCGGGCUCCCGCUGGGUCCCGGGGCGUGACAUAUCAUGAACCACUAUAUCAAUGUAUAAUGAAUAUGCUCUAUCAUGGCAGCAAAGUAUACUAUAAUGCAACAAUUAAGACUAUCAUGUAUACUACAAGUCCCAACACUAUGCUAUAAGCAUGUCAAGGUAAUCAAACUACUAAGCCUAUCUAGUAGUGAUAGUCAUUUUCCGGUUCAAUGUCAUUGUUUCCAACAUGUUCUAGGACCUAUAUAGUGUAGUCCAGCUUGUGCCACCUAAGUGUCGGUGGUAGCUCCAGCAUUCCCACUCUAGGAAUGAGUCUAUCCUUCCCGACCCCGUAGGUUUCUCGAUACCGCACGAGUGAGCAUAAGUCACGUAGGCCAACUCCGGAGUGCCGGCUUGUAGGGAGCGACCCUCACAAGUAUGUGCGAAUGAGCACAAAUGGCAAACAAGCGUAAUCAUCGUCUCAAGUACCCAAUCAUCAUGUCUCUAAUAUGGUAAUAGUCACUAGUAUCUCAAUGAUCUAGCUCUAGGUCACAAUGUGAAGUUCCAAUAUUUACUAAGUUUAGUGACCCUUUAUGACACUUAGACAUUUCGAUAUAUAAGCAUGUUCCAAUUCUCUUAAUGGCCCUAUCCACAAGGUUCCCACAUAACCCGAGCUCAAUGCCGCUUUAUGACAUUAGCUCACAAUUUCACAUGUCAAUUUAGUCCAAUGCCCCUUUGUGGCAUUAUAAUAAUUUCAUGUCCAACUAGGGUUUAAGUCCAAUGGCACUUUACAUAGAUCAAUUCUGCUAUAUAAACAAGAACCCAAGUUUACCAUAAGAAUGCUAAUGCACACAUAAGCCUCAUAUGCAAGUUCUCUACUUUAUAGGGGUUCAAAAAUACAAUGUAUGUAACAUAGGCAUUUUAAGCAUUCUAAAAUUCAUAAUAAAUACAUUUAUCAUGAAAAUUCAUGAAUUUCUAUUUUACGAAGCAUAAAACAUCGGAUAUGAGAAUUCUCAUAUGCUAGGCUAGGUCAAAUCCACCGAACCGUCUCGAAACCCUUCGUUUCGCCGAACGAAGUUGUCCACAAAUCUCUAAGUGCCCUAAAGGUAAGGAGCGAAGAGAUAAACAAACGUUACGAGUAACUCUAGGCUCAAACAUUAACCACCACAAGCAAAGAGGCAAAAACUCACCUAGGGAGUAGAAAAUCUCUCUCAAGCUCCAAAAGAGAGCUAGAUCCCUUCCAAUCCGACCAAAUGGAAGAUUCUAAACCAAGUAAUUGAGCCUCAAAAGCCCUAGAAUCAAAAUGCCCAAAAUCAACCCUAAAAUCACAUUCUAGUGUUUCAUCUACCAUAAAGCAACAAAACUCAAAUCUAGAGGGAGAGAAUCGGCUACCAACCUCUUAGAAGCUUCAAACAAAGCUCAAAGUCCUCAAACUUCAAGGAUCUUCCCUCAACUAUGCUCCAAAUCCAAGCUCCAAGCUUCAACCAUGGUGGAGAUGCACAAAGAGGGAAAAGAGGAAGAUCAAUCCACUAAAAUCCAAGCAAAAAGGGGUAUAAAUCCAAAGAGGGAGAAGAGAGGAGGUCCCUACCUUCUCCUCCACUGGUUCCAGCUCAGGGAGAGCUCUAGGGGGCGUGGGGAUACAAAUAGAGUUGCUACAAUAGCAAUUACACCCCUGCAGAACCGUCUGUUCAGAAUCUGUCAUUGCGUACCGGUACACGGGUCCACGUACCAGUACACAUCCCAUGAAAAGGCCAAACCCGAGCCACGGGUUUGCCUCAAAACUGCCUGUGUACCAGUACACGGGCCUGCGUACCAGUACAACCAUCAACCCUGUACCGGUACAGCUAUCAACCCUGUAUCGGUACACUGCCCGCUGAAGGCUACCCGAGAGCUGACCAAAAAUCCGACAUUUCGGGUUUUGGUGCUAAACUUUAAACCUCACUCCUCGGGAUUCGAACCAUAGGUCGGAACACUGUCUACGACCCACCAGAAAGUCUGAAAAAACUCAGAACACAUCCAAUCACUCGAACCUCGCAAUUUACAAAGGUCCAGUGUGUUACACUCCUAGUACCCUAGAAGCAUCAAAAUGGGAAUUAAACGAAUCAAACGAACAACCAUGAGGUUGAUCAAAAGCCAACUCAAGAAUAGGGCUAAAAACUAACCGAAUGCGAAGGGAACUCUCUCGAUCUCAAAAUGGGAGUUAGAGUCCUUCCAAUCCAACCUGAACAAAGGUCUUAAACCCAUCAAUUGGGUCCCAAAGCCCUCAAAUCAAAAAUUCCCAAAAUAAACCCUAAAAUCCAAAUCUAGGGUUUCAUCUGGUUUAAAGUUCCAAAACUAGGAUCUAGAGGAAGAAAAUUAGCCACUUAUCUCUAGGAUGCUCCAAACCAAACUCAAAAUCCUCAAGGGUUGAAGAUUGAUCCUACACAAAGCUCCACCCACAAGCUCCAAGCCACCAAAGGUAAGAAACGAGGGAGAGAAAGAUGCUCCAAGGCCUCCAAGCUUGCUCUCCUUCAACUCCUUCUUCUUCUCCUUCUUCUUCUCUUUCUAGAGAGUGUAGAGAGAGUGUGAGGGAGAGAAAUGAGGGUGAGAGAGAGAGGAAAUGGCCUAUAAGCCCUCUGUCACGCCCCGGGACCGGCGGAGGCCCUCCCGGUAGCGUGCCCAGACCCGCCAUAUGUCUACACAUAUAAGGCGUCUACAAUAAAAGCGGAAGUAAUGCAAGAGAUAGAACAAAUAGAAGAAGUGAAAUAACUAGCAGCUAAUGAUAUCAGAGCGAGUAAAGUUCUAACAUCUACACAAAGGUAAAGAAGUAAAGCUAGACAAUAAAAGAGAAACCAUAAGUAGUACAAUAUUUGUCUCUAGUACAAAAAGGGUGGUCUCUAUACAUAUACGGGUACAACUCUCAACCUCUCACCAAAAAGAUAACACGAGAGGUAGACCACCUGUCGAACGAUCCCUCGGCAAGCACGCUAGCCCGAGGCGAUACCCUUUCCGCGAUCCCUGGCCUAUCCCUGCGGGGAAGGCUCUGAAAAACAUCGAGAAAAAGAGGGCGUGAGAACUAUAAUUUAUAGUUCUCAGUGGGCAAUUACUGACCUCAGCUCAUCGCACCACUAGGCCCCAAAAGGAAAAAGGGGUAAGACCAAGAUAGUAAUAACCAUAAAGAUAAUAGUAACAUAGUAAGAAAGCAUAAAUGAAGUGUUAACCCAUAUAUCUCAAGUAAGCAUGAUGCCAUGGCGAUGUACAUCUACGCUAUCAUAAGGUAAUAUGUCCAAUGCAUACUAAUAUGACUCAAUAUAAUAAACAAGUAAACCUCACGAUGCAAUAUGUUAAUGCAUAAGGGUAAACUCUAUCCAAACAACCGAGUAUGCUACGAUGCAAUAAUGAAACCGGCAAGCAUACUAAAUGUACCAAUGCUAUAUCAUGAGCGUGUCCAGGUAAUCCAACUACUAAUCCUAUCUAGUAGUGAUUGUUCAUAUACAACACCGUGUCGAUUUCCAUUUCAAAUUAAGGACCUACCAAAGGUAGUUCAGCUUGUGCCGCCUAAGUGCCUGUGGUAGCCCAACAUCCCCACUCUUGGGAUGUGUCUGUCCCACUCGACCCCGUAGGCUUCUCAAUACCGCACGAGCGAACAUAAGUCGCGUAGGCUAACUCCGGAGUGCCGGCUUGUAGGGAGCGACCCUCACAAGCAUGUGCGAAUGAGCACAAAUGGCAAACAAGCGUGGUCAAUGGCUCAAGUAUCCAACCCUCAUGUCUCUAACAUGGUAUAGUCACUAGCAUCUCGAAGAUCUAGUUCUAAGUCAAAAAUGAAGUUCCAACCUUCUCUAGGUUUAGUGCCCCUUUAUGACACUUAGACAUUUAAUGAUUAAGCAUGUUUCACAUUCCUCAAUGGCCCUAUCCACUAGGUUCACACAUGUCCCGAGCUCAAUGCCGCUUGAUGACAUUAGCUCUCUAGUUCACAUACAAUCUAGUUCAAUACCUCUAGAUGGCAAUUUUGUCAUCUUUCAUGUCUCAAAUAAGCUUAAGUUUAAAUGCAUGAAUCGAAGCUCAUUUACACUAUAGAAGCAUGAAACCAAGUCUCAAAUUGAACGCUAAAUGCAACCAUAGGCCUACCAAGCUACUCUCUACUCCAUAGAGGUCCAAAAUUUCAUCAUAUACAACAUGGGCCUUUUAAGCAUUCUAAAAUUCACAAUAAAUACAUAUAACAGGAAUAUGCAUGCUUUUUCAUUUAUCGAUACUUAAUUAAGCACAAAUGAGAAUUUCUCAUUACGUGGCUAGGUCAAACCCACCGAACCGUCGCGUAGAGCCUCGUUUCGCCGAACAAAGUUGUCCCCGAGUCUCAAAAUACCCUAAAAGUAAUCAGCGAAGAGAUACGAGGGCAUUACAACCCUCCAUAAGAUCAAACAUUAACCUAGAAGCAUAAAGGCCAAAACUCACCUCAAGAGAAGAAAUCUCUUCCAAAGCUCCGAAAGAGAGCUAGAACCCUUCCAAACCAAGCCCUAGGAAUGUUCUAAACCAAGCAAUUUAGCCUCAAAAGCCCUAGAUCAAAAAGCCCCAAAAAUCAGCCCUAAUACCCAUUCUAGGGUUCCAAAUGGUAAAACCUACCAAAUCAAGGGUCCGAGGGUAGAAUCCAAGUACUAACCUCCCAAGGUGCCUCCAAACAAGCUCCAAAUCUUCUAGGGUUGAAGAUUGGUCCACCACCAAGCUCUACAAGCAAGCUCCAAGCCUUGCAAAGGUGGAAAAGAGAGAAAGGGGUUGAGCUCCAAGCUCCCUCAAGCAAACUCCUCUUCUUCUUCUCCUCCUUCUCCUCCUUCUUCUUCUUCUCUCUCUAGAAAGUGUAGGGAGAGGGUGAGAAUGAGAGGAAUGAGAGAGGGAAGAGGAGGAAAUGGCUAAUAAGCCCAUCUAGUGUAACAAAAUCCAGAGAGGCCCCCCCAAAAAAUAAAUUACAUCAGCCCGAACUGGGCAGUUUUCGCCCAGAGGGACCGGUCUCUCCCCAGCAGAGACCGGUCUCUCGUUGCGAACCCGAAAAACCAACGUUUGGGAACCGGUCUCUCCCUGCGCGGGACCGGUCUCUCACUGCGAAGGCGCGCUCAGGGACUGGUCUCGCCCGCCAGGGACCGGUUGCCUCAGGGCUGCCGCAGCACUGCUCACUGGGGGACCGGUCUCUCCUUUCAGGGACCGGUCCCCGAGAGUAAAAACUCUCAGGACUGUCCAGAAUUUCAAUUUUAGAACUUUUUAGGUCGAAAAGCAUUCUACAACCCUCCACCAAGUGUGAAAAAGCUCGAAAUACAUCCAAACACUCGAACCUUGCAAUUUGCAAAGGUCCAGUGCGUCACACCCUCUCAUGUAACAAAAUCCACUUAGGUCCCUCAAAAAUCCAACCUGUGCACUGCCCUUACUGGGCAGUUUUCGGGCUGAGGGACCGGUCUCCCGGCACCUGGGACUGGUCUCUCGGACCCUCCCGCAAAACACACGUUCGGGAACCGGUCUCUCUGGCUGAGGGACCAGUUACCUCGGCCAACAGUCGCAAGACGCGACGGGGGACCGGUCUCUCCCACCAGGGAUCGGUCCUCGAGAGUAAAACUCUCAGGACUUAGCUAAAAAUCCAGAAUUUCGAACUUUUAGGUCGGAAUACCAUCUACGACCCUCCACCAAGUGUGGAAAAGCUCGGAAUCCAUAUCAAACACUCGAACCUUGCAAUUUGCACAGGUCCAGUGGUUAUAGUUACAACACUCGAACCUCGCAACCAGCUGCUUUAAGUUCUAUUAUCAUAGCAGACAUCACACUUAAGUGCUCUGCCAUAGAAUCCUUCGGUUCCAACAUAUAUUGAUUGAAUUUGAGAUUCAAGGCACGAAGCCUUGUGGUCGAUGUGCUACCAUAUUUCACUUUGAGCUGCUCCCACAUAUUCUUAGCAGUCUCAUAAUUCUCAAAUUUUUUGAUCAAAUCAUCGUGCAUACAGCUCAACAUUGUAGAGCGUGCACUUCGAUCUUUCUCAAUCCACUCAUUAUAGGCUUGCAAAUCGCGACGGUGCUGAGCCGUCGUGCCUUCUUCAGGCUUAACCAUACUGUUGGUUAAAUGGCUAAGUAUCCCUUUCUCAUUAAGGAGAUAUUGAAUUUUUCUAUGCCACAUGUCGUAAUUUGUUCCAUCAAACCUAUCUUGAUUUAACAAAUCUGCUAUAGAAAGAUUUUUGGAAGCCAUGUAUCACUACAAUAAUAUAUAUAAUUUUAAAUUAGGCAUAAAUAACCACAAUAUUAUUUUAAAUCUAAUUUGAUAAUAAAAUUUUUCACUGCAUCUUCAAAUCGAAAAUUUCGCCUUUGGAGAAGACUAAUAAUCGCCUUAUUCAAUGUAGAUUAAAAUAAUAUAUCAAAUUAAUCAAGAAUAAAUCUACGUCACAAAUUAAAUGAUGAACAUUAUGCAAUCUAGUUACAACAUAUCAUAAAACAAUAUAUAAUAAAUGAAAUCCAUUAUUUUAUAUGAGUGAACAUUGAAUUACAUGGUUAAAAAGCGCUUUUUUAAAAUAUUCUCAAUAUUCAUGCUAUGGAUUCGAAUCCCACAACCAACAACUUCCUCUUUUUUUUUUGUUUUUAAUUAAACAGAUUUAAAUAGAAAAAGCAAGCCCAUGAAUUCAGGUUUAUGCCUAUGCUUAGCCCACAGUGCAGGCUGUGCUUACUCUCUUGGGCCCAAGAAGCAUGCAUAUAGGCUGGGCCAUUUGCGGCCUAGCGCAUGGACUAAGCCACUGAUGGAUACAGGAAUAACCUGCGGGCCAUCAUGGAGGGCCUCGGGCCCUCAACGGCCCUUCAAGCAGGCGCGCUCCGACGCAGCCAAUUGCGCGGCUGAGCCUUCAUGGCCCAGCAUGCAGGCGGCCCAAUCGCUAAAUGGGCCUAAUCUGGCAUGAAUCACAAAAUGUGCGGAUGCACUUUAACGGGUGGGUCCUCGCACUGGCGGGCUUAUUUACUUAGAUCAAGGAAGCACAUAUAUAUAUAUAUAUAUAUAUAUAUAUAUAUAUAUAUAUAUAUAUAUAUAUAUAUAUAUAUAUAUAUAUAUAGGGUUAUUUGCAUACACGUCCCUGCAAAUAUAGUGAAUUGCAGAAAUAACCUUGCAAAACGGAAAUUCCAUAAGUUGUCCCUGCAAAAGUCUUAAGUUAUGCAGAUAUGUCCCUACCGUUAAGGUUUGUUAAAAAAAUUUCGUUAACCACGGUUAAAAACUUAACCAUGGUUAAUUAAUAAUGUAAAUUGACGGUUUUACCCUUUUUCCUCUUCCUCCUCUUCCUUUUCUAUCUUCUUCCUCGCCGGCGGUGGCUGCGAUGGUGACGGUGGCAGGGGCAGCGGCGGCGACGGCGACGGCGGCGAUAGCGGCAGUGUCACGCCCCGAGCCCCGCCUAUUUGGCCGAGUUCGGGCGCGUCGACAGACCGCCGAACGGACAGAGUUUUCCCUGUACGUCCUAGGCGUCGCAAUCAAUACAAUGAACAUUACAAGGGUUCCAACCAGGAGCAGAUAUCAAUCAUGAUUGCAUAAGGAAAGUAUCACAACAUAACACAUCCUAUGUUAUUACAUGCAUUCACAAUAAUACAUUUACUUUACAUCCAACUCCCAAAUGCAAUUAAGUUAUUACAUCAUUUGCUUAUUACAAAUUGAUACAUUGUAUUCUUUUCAUUUCCCAAACCCCUAGGCUAUGUCGACGGGGUAUUGCUAUCUCUGGUCUCUGGGUAGGGCGCUAUCUAUGGAGCUACGCCCUUUCCUCGCGCCGCCACGCCGCUCACGUGCGAACCUGAAACACCCCAAAACAACGUGGGGUGAGAAUCAACUCCAUGGUUCCCAGUGGGUAUGGCCACCCAAGGGAAGAGCUCGACCGAUAGGUCCAAGGAGGCAACAACAUGUUAGUUCAAUAGAUAGAUAUGAAAUCAUAAUUUAAAUGCAACUAACAUAUAUCAUGCUUUGCCUCACAAUAUGCAACAGGAAUAUUAUGCAACUAUGCAACUGUAUAAACAACUAGUAGAUGUGUUGAUUCUACGUUUACUUUGCUAACUUUAGCUCAUUUCAUUCAAUUAUAAGGUUUCUAUUACCUUAGGUUCUUGCCUCAAUCACUAGCUUAUAAGGUUUCCAUUAACCUAAUCAAGCUAACCACCCGACUCGGCCUCGAGUCAAUCAUCCGCGGAUAGUCCGCGCACUGGCUGCACAUCAGCCUGGCUGCCGUCACAGCCUACCGCAAAUCUGACUUAACCAUCUGGUGGCGAACUCAUCGCAUCGAACCCAACAACAACUCAAGUCAUGACUUAGCCAUCUGGCGGCGAACUAAUCGCACCUCACCCAACAAUGGUUCAAGACGUGACUUAGUCAUCUGGCAGCGACCACAUCGCUCUUACCCAGCAAGGUUCAAGUCAAUCUAGGCGGCAUCAUCCGAUAAGCUAAUGGGCGAGGAGAACCACACAUACCCAAUUCCAGCUUAUUCUCAUGGCAUCCCGGGCGAGGAGAACCACACAUACCUGUUGAAUCACUGCCAGGCGAGGAGAACCACACAUACCUGCAGUUAGGAUUCGCUUGCCAUCUCUUUUACCACAAUUUUCACCGCUCCAUGUGCGGCCACAUCACUCGGGAUUCCGAAAUCCACUUCAUAUAGCUCAAGGGUUGGUUUCAAACCCUAUAGUAUUGACCUAUCUAGGUCCAAUGUCCUUUUCACCCUAGGUCCAAUUGACUCUAGGUUCAACGUCUCUAUCACAUAACCUAGGUUUACUUAACUCUAGGUUCAAUCCAUAACCUAUGUCCUUUAACACUAUGUUAGAUGCCACUCAUGAUUCAUCCUAGGUUCGACAACACUAGGUUCAUUGUCAUUCAUGUCCAACCUAUGUUUUAUACACUAGGUUAGAUGCCACUUGACCUAUGUUCAAUAACACUAGGUUCAUUGUCAUUCAUGUCCAACUUAUGUUUUAUACACUAGGUUAGAUGCCACUCGAUCUAGUUCACAUGACUCUAGAUUCAUUCACAACCUAUGUUCUUUAACACUAGGUUAGAUGCCACUUGACCUAUGUUCAAUAACACUAGGUUCAUUGUCAUUCAUGUCCAACCUAUAUUUUAUACACUAGGUUAGAUGCCACUCGAUCUAGUUCACAUGACUCUCGAUUCAUUCACAACCUAUGUUCUUUAACACUAGGUUAGAUGCCACUCGAUCUAGUUCGACAUCCUAAUUGUCUAAUCGAGCAUUCUCUAGUUCACAUGCAUAGAUAAUCUCGCGAUGCUAAUCAUGUAUUCUAUGAUCUCUAUAUCAUUUUACAUGCACCUACUUAGCAUUUUACAUUAUAUUAUCCACAUGCAUUAUUCACAUCAACUAUGUGCAUCAUCCACAUGCUUAUUUACAUUUACAUGCAUCACCUACAUGCCUCGUUUAGCAUUUAUAUGCAUCAAUAUAGAUUCUAAAUUUUCUUAGACAUAAGGGCGACCUAGUCGCUUCGGUAAGCACAACCCACCUUAACUUACUCUCCGAUUGCUUGUACUCACUUGCAAUCGGCCGCCCGCGACACCCGCGACCCUGUUUGGCUCGAACUCUCGCGCGACCAUCCAAACGAUCUCCGAUUUGCGAUCCGGAAAUUAAAGGUCGUCGGUUAUGUGCCACGGUGCUUCAAAUCCGUUUUCAUGAUUUUACGACGUCGCCUCGGCCCUCCAGGCGGAAAUGAAGCCUAAACGUCCGUUUCUUUAAUAACUUUGUAACGGCUCGUCGGAUUGCCGAACCGUCUUCGCCAACGCGUUCGUUUACCUAGCAAUUAGGUUUAUAGAGGGUCAAAUGAGAUCAAACCCUCAUAUUUGCAAAACUAGCAUUUUUGAGCCCUAAAUUACAACUAGGUAAAAAUCCACCAUUAGAGCCUCGGUUUCAAGCAUCAAACCUCUAAUUAGCAUGCUAGAAUACCUCUAAACUCAUUCUUAGAGCUUAAAAAUCAAACUAGAAAGAAAUGCCAUUAAAGGGUUUGAAGCUUACCUUCAAAGCUUGCUCUAAUGGAGAGGAAGAAGACGAAGAAGAUGAAGAUCAACUUCCAAGCUUGCUUCUCGACCAAAACCUUCAAUUUUGGGAGAGAUUUAGAGAGAAAAUGGGUGGGUUCUCUCUUUCCCUCUCCAAGCGUGUGUGCGUGUGUGGCGUGCGGGUGUGUGUGUGGCGUGCGGGUGAGGGAGAAGAAGCAUCAGCUUCUUUAUAAUACCCCUCAAAUACUAUUCACUCCAGGCAGCUUGAAAUGUGAUAACUUUCGCCGGAGCUCCCUGAAUGUCCGUUUGAGCUCAAACUUGAUAGUCAUAUUCGGUUUUACGUACUGAGCAAGAAUAUAUUUUAAGUUUUCAGUUUCGACCCCGUUUGGUCACCGAAAACUGUACCGAACUGUAAUCUUUAUUAGAUAGCUGUCGGAUUUUAUUUCUCACUCUACGGGUGUCAGAAAAAUAUGAAACUUUAAAUCUAGCCUCAUAAAAAUAUUUCUGACAUCUCCGCCAAUUUUCAUAAUUUUCUGACACUAUGCAUUUUCUGUAAUUUAUUUGCCCGUUUCUUACAAAAAAUUUUAAAUCUUCGUUUUCGCUCGAUUUCAGCACAGGUCAUUCCCAAUUUAUUUCAUUCUCUAAAUCAAUAAAAAUAGUAUCUCAUACUAUUUUUAUUUAUUUUUCACUUUUAUAUUUAAAAUCGGUAUGUUACGUUCCACCGCAACCUCACCGGAACUAUUUAAAUAUACACC